rnacentral:lncRNA from 1 species
GACGGUGUCCUGAGAGGUGGGGCCAGGGACGGUGUACUUGUUGUAGAGGGCGGCGAUGCCAGGAGCCGAGGCUGAGUUGACGAGGGAGGUGAGAAUAGAAUUGACGUUGGACUCGUAGGGUGAGCCCUGAACGUACCUUAUCUGAGCGCACCCACCAAAGAUGAAGGUGUCUAUGGCAGAGAUUGAAGGGCUUGGCAGAGCUGAGAAGGUGAUGAGAAAAAUCAAGAGAGACGAGAGACAAAGAGAAACGCUUACAGACAUGCUGUCCAGUCUGGUUAGCCAAAGUUAGAGAGCAGGAAGAACUGAAAGGUCUAGGCUGAUGGAAUGGAAGUAAUGGAAGUGUACGAGUCUAUGAGCACUUUGGCAGGCUGUGGUUGCUUCACGCAGAAUUACGUAAGGCAGUGAGACAACUUGAUUUUUGUAUAUAGUAUAUGAUGAUCAUUUUUCCAAAUAAAAAAUAAAAAAUGGGAUAGUAAAGUAGAAUGACUAGAUGGGUAUCAACCAUUUUGACUUGAUGGUGUUGGCCUCCUUUUUCAGGGUCGAUAAUUAAACCCCUGCAUAAAUGCUAUGAUUUUAUUUUUUAUUUUUUAUUUUUAUUUUUAUUUUAAAACCUUAUUAGGGUUAAAAUCUAAAACUUAAAUAACCAAAUAUGAUUUUUUUUAACAUGAAAUAUAUAUAUAUAUAUAUAUAUAUAUAUAUAUAUAUCAAAGUAAAAUCUUGUUAACGAUCAUAAUUGAAGACGACUGGUUGCGGGAUUCCGCUAAGUCCAACAACGGAUACCUUGCGGUUUUCUUCAAGAGGAAACGACUUUUACUUUUAGCAGGCCUAUGAGUUUUUUAUUAACCUUUUUCUAAUACUAAAUUUGAAAAUGACUCCAAACCCGAAUCGAGUCAACACCCGCACAAUGCAAUUGAUGAAAUUUCCAGUCCACGUGGUGGGAUUCAUCAUUUUUUACACCAAAUAAUGGGCCUAAUUAUUGAAGGGCGAGAUUCCUACUUGACAACCUAACCUCUUUAUUACUUCAUAGAUGGAUGAUUAAGUACUUCAUUGAUGGAUGAUUAAGAAUUGAACUGAGUUCUCCAAAAAGUUAACAGCAGGUUCCAAAAGCAUUCAUGACUAGUCAGAGAUGGAUGAUUAUGAAUUGAAUUACCCACCAAGCAGAAACUCCAUGGUUUGGGUUUUUUUUUUUUUUUUCUUUGAAGCUUUACACAAAAGAAGAAAAGAGAAAAAGGGCUCUCUUGUGAAUGGGUAACAACUGUAACAUUUCAACCAGUCAAAUUUAGUACAGGCCUUCAUUUAAACUUGAAGCAACAGCCAUUAUUUCAUAGGAUGACCCAUUUUUCCCAUCUAUGAACAGUCUUCCAAUAUAUGACUUAGUAUCUUCAUGCCUGCAUAUUUGUGGAAACAGGACAAACAUUUUGGAAUUGGGAAAAGCCAAACUGGGUCCCCGCUCUCCUUUUUUUUUUUUUGUUGAAAGGUAUUAUCAUAAUUUAUUUGAUGCCUAACGAUCACCACCUUACAUGGUUUCUCUGCAUAAAAUUUGUUUAGUGAAGUAUUGAAUGAUAGAAAAUUUUGAUGCUCCUCUUUUACCCAAUAGUUGUUCAACCACCUCCCCCUCCAAUGCAUUUGAAUAGAUUAUUUUCUUUGUUUAUGAGUUGAAUGACCAUGGUUUUCAAGUGGGCACAGCAAAAGCUACUUGAUUUGGAGCGGAGAGGUGGGGGAGCAAGGAUGUCUGUCUCUGUGAUCGGCAAUUGACACAAGACACUUUGUUUAUAUGACUAUUUAACAAAUUUUUCUCUUUGGGAUAUCACAAUUUAUUUAUCUCCGUAACCCCUUAAUCGCGACAGUUCGAUUAGACCCUGAAAGGAGCUAGCUUGGAAAUAUAUGGGUUGAACCACUGCCACAUGAAACCCAACUCAUUUGUAUGCCCAAGUGAUGGUUUCACCAGGCAUCAAGGGAAGCCACUCCCACCUCUUGUACAUGGGCCCACCAUAGACAGCGGUUGCCACAAACUGAACCAGGGGUUGAAGAAAGCCAGAAAAGGCCUAGUAUUGAGUUUCAGAGCUUUAUGUUAGAGGUCAUAUUUUGAUGUGAUGAUGAAGAGUGGGAGACAAAAUGAGACAAGAAUAUGGUUAUCUGUCAUUUGAGAGAUCCAACCAUUUGGUCUCUGAAGGAGAAAAGGAAUGGAUAAGAAGAGAAACAGAGUGGAGAACAAAUAAUUUAGAGAAUAUGGUUCUUGAGAUAUGGAACCAAAAUCCAUAAAUUCCCACACCAUGAAUCUGCUGGCAUUUCAUUUAUUGUGUUACUAAGAAUAAAUCAAUCUCUUCUUUUUCUUGUAUCUAGCAAUCCAUGCAUCCAAAUGAGGAAUGGUUCAAGGGUCUUAAUAAAAUUCUCAAUUUAUUUAUUUUGGUGAUACCAAUUAUUAUUGGGUGUCACAUAACCAAACUGGAAUCAACUUUUCCUGGGUUUUAAGGGCAACAGUGACCUUCAAAAGUUAAAUCCUUAAACACGUAAACGAGUUUAAGGUCAGUCUCUUAUUCCCUCACGGAUCAAAAGAGUAGACGAGAAGCGACACUUGCUAUGCGGGCAUGUGACAGAAAACAAUUGGUGGACGUAUCAAUGGGAGAAUGGUUUUGGAAUGAUCUUGGAAGAAUUGAUGAUGUGAAGAAAAAGGCAGGGGUAGUUCCAUCAAAGCAAAAAGGAAAGAGAUGGAAGAAGAGAGGAAGGUGAGGUCCAAUAAUGUCCUUAUAUUAAAGUCACGGUAGUUUUGUCUUUGCCUUGACGUGCCCACAUAGGCUUCUGCCUUAACACCCGACCAGCUGAUUGUCAUUUUGCCAUCCAGAUAAGGCCUUCUCAUGGGCACCCUGUACCUUCCUACGCUUCACCUGUUACCUUUAUUUCUGGAAUUCAGUGUCCUUAUGCACCCAUCUUAGGCUGCUCAAAACCUCCUGAGUCAGGCCCUACUAGCCAAUCAAAAUUUCUCAAUGUUUUGCCUUUGUCUGGCCCUUUUAUGGUUUUUUGAGUUUGAUUCUAUUUUUCACAAGGCAGGCCCAUAGGCCAUAACUAAUAGUAUUUAUUUUAAAGAUUUAAAAAUUACAUUGACAUCUUAAAAAAAAAUUAAAAAAAAUUUAAGUCAAUAAAUUAUUUUUAUUUUCUAUUUCAAAUACAUUUCACUUAUUUAAUUCCUUUAUUUAUAUAUAUAUACAUAUAUAUUAAUUUAAAAACAUAUUCGUUUGACUGCUUUUUUUUCCCAUAUUUUUCAUAGUAAAUACAAGAAAAUCUUUUUUUUUUUUUAAUUUUUUUUUUUUUGGUACUUUUUGGGAAUCAAAUACGACCUUAAUAAUUUGUAUACCUUAUAAAAAAUUACUAUUAUUUUUAUUUUAAGAACAAAAAAACAGAAAAUAUCUUGGUAUAAGAAGAAACCAGGCUAAUCUCAAUUAGUAUUCAUGGUGGUAGCAUGUGACAGCCCUUCUUUUGUACUCAAAGAGAAGUGUACAUGUAUGAAUGGGCCACUCCAAAUUGGUUUGUUUCACAUACACAUAUCUUGGCAGACCUCACUUCUGAACGGCCCAAUGACAACAGAGCCUACCAAUAUUUAUUCUUAAAGAAUAAAAGGGUUAAAAGAAGAAAAUCUUAGUUUUUUUCCUCCAUAAAUAAUAAAUUUGCAUCCACUAAAAUUUUAUUUCAGACACCAAUCAAACACUCGCUGAAUUUGUACAAACAAAAACAACCAUGUCAGAUUCAAUUCUAAAAUCAGGCAAUCCAACCAGCAACCCCCGAGACCAGAAGGGAUGAUGCUACCAGUCUGCCCCUUUUUAGACAGAAUGAGGACUGCAUAACAAUAAAUAAAUAAAUAAAUAAGAACGAAAGUGGAAAUCAGUUUUAGCUAAAAUUUGGUCAUUUACGCUUUCUUCCGAGCUGAAGCUCUAUGCUCCUGCAUCCUUUCAAACAGGCUUCCAUCGUAGACUGCUCUAAUAGUUUCUUUGUGUAGUAGACCAUUCUUGUCCUUGCAAAGGAAGUAUAAGAUCUUCCAUUCUGUCCAGCUUGCAAGCCUGCAAUCCACUUCACCGUUUUAGUAUUUGGGAUUUUAUUCAAAAACUGAUGGGAAGAACCAAUGCGGCGUUCUGGAAUUAUGAAGCAAGGAAACUAACCAUCCACUGUAAUCUUUUGGGACCCUGUUAUACUUGAGCAUCGCCAGCAGUUCAUCAGAUGUUAAAGCGUUUGAAUUAGCACCCGCAUGCUUGGUGAAAAUCUCUUCAAACUUUGAAGGAACAAACCUUUAAAAAAGAUGGAAGAAACAAAUGAUCAAAUUCAGAAUCUGAAGGAGGAGAAGAUCAGAGUAUAGUGCAUGAACAACUGGAUCUGGGACUCUGGGUGGUCACUUCUCAAUGAGAAAGUGGGAUCAGAACCUGGAAAUGAGACCGUUUGGCUCUGGGCCUGGCAUGGAGUAAACUUAAGUAUGAGAAUGUACAACUAAACAAUUAAUAUAUGGCCAAUUCAAUUUCAAGCAGACCGAACUCGUAAACCCUAGCUCCAUUCUCUGGUGGAAUGCACCUUUCAUAUUUGAGUUGGCUGGUUCUCAGGAUGAUGCCUUGGACUCUGCUCAGUUAAGUUCAAUAUUGGCACAUUUGAAAAAGUAAAGAAAUUUGAGAGCAAUAUUUUUUGUCUAAUAGACCCACAAUAUGGUCCAAAAUGAAGAUACUAGAUUAAACACCACAUAAAGCAACACUUAUAAGCCGUGUUAACAUGUUGACCUAAUAUCAAUACGUAGAAAUUUGUAGUCCAUUUUUCCCCUCAUCACUUCUUGGUAUGUAUAAAAACAACCCGAGAGUAAGUUUUUAUCUUCCAAUUCUUAUUUGCUGGAGUGCAUGACAUUAAGAGUUUGUUUGGGAGUGAUUCUAUAAAGCAUUUAUAACAUUUUUAACACUUGAAUGAUAAAAAAUUUCAAGUAUUAAAGAUAUUAAAAACACUUCCUAGAAUCACUAAUAAAUGAACUCUUAUUAUGGGCUCAAAUCUCAACUCAUGUUUAUUUCUCCUCUUUAUUAAGCUUACAUAUAAACCCUAAAAAGAGACUUUCCGUGAGGAAGGAUGUUAGAGUGUAUGAUAUACAUGGUGGAUCAAAAUCCUACAAAUUUAAACUUACAUGUAAGCAUGAUAUACACGGUGGAUUUAAAACCUACAUGCUCAAACUUUUAGAAAAAUUAGUUGUCUAUCGUCAUCUUCAAUUAGCCCUCAAAGCCCUCUACAACUACUAAGCUUUAGUAUAAAUGCACCGAUAAUUGGAGUGACAUUUAAACUAUUUGAUGAUAUAUUUGUCAUUUAUUAUCUAAAUUUGUUUUGUGGACAUGCCCAUAACAAGGACCAUGUAAAAAUGGAAAUGAAUGCAAAAAUGGAAACAUGAAGUAUACCUUCCUUCACUAUCAUAGACUCCGGAGUCACUUCCAUGUUUGGCCAUAUGGAUGUUUUUUAUCUCAAUUGGGAGGAGUAGAGAAGGGAAUUUUCCCUGCAACAUGCAAAAAUUGAAUUGUCAUCAUCACUGAUUACUACCAAAAAGGGCUAUUUUGUAGACCUAAUUAUAAUGGUUUUAAGCACCUUUGAGUAGUAAUCAUAUUCAUUUAACCCAAUUAAUUCAUUAAGGUCCUUAGUAAUUGGUUUUAACCAUUUUGUGGCAAAUUUACAUGUUUUUAUCAGCUUAUGAAUCGAUUCAAGCAUGCCAAUUGAUGGAGGAGCUAUUUAGGCAAGUUAAGCAAGGAUUUUGGACGAUUACAGGCUUGAAUUUCAAGUGGAAACACGAGCACAAGCAAUGGAGAAGAGGAAAACAGAGUGAAGAAAACAGCUGCAGUCUUCCUUUGAACUUUUGGAGCACUUCCUGAAGUCCAUUUUUUGCAUGCUAUAUACCAUUUGAAAGCUUAGGAAGUCAAGAAUCCAACGCUUCAAACCUUGUAUGAUUUGGAGCUGAAAUGAGGAAGAUAUGGCCUUUGGAAGGCAACUGUAUCAUGUCAAAUGACCAAUUUCGCAAUGUGAAUUUCACAUUGCGAAAAUUUCGCAAUGUGAAUUUCGCAAGGAGAUUUUCUUCAUGGUGCGAAAUUUUGCCAUUUCGCAAUGUAAAUUUCACAUUGCGAAAAUUUCGCAAUGAGAUUUUCUUCAUGGUGCGAAAUUUUGCCAUUUCGCAAUGAGGAUUUAGGCACAUUGCGAAAUUCCUUUGAAUCCCCUGUUUUGAGACAUUGUUGAUGUUAUUCCACUACCGGUUCUCCAAGAUAUUUUGCUUGAUUUUUAGCUUUGUAAAUACCUAUUUUACCCUUGUAAUCAACCAAUGAAUAGGUUGCUUUUGUAAUAGCUCUUGUAAUUUAGCUUGUUAUUGUCUUUAAAUAGAGGUGAAGAGCCUCAGACAAGGAUCAUCUAAUCUUGUAACCUGUAACUUUAUAAGUUAUAAGAGCACCUUUGUUCAUACGUUUCUUUUCUCUUUUCUUUCUCAUUUUCUUAGUAGCCAAACAUCCUUGGAGGAUGAAAUCCCCAAGGAUGAGAGGCUAAAACCUUUUAGUUUCUUGAAGUAAUGGAUGCCAUGUGAAGCUCCCGUGUCAGGAUGGAGAUUUCCAAGCCAUGAAUGUAAGUAGCUGAGCAUCAUAAAUGUUUUCAUUCAAAGUAAAGCUUUUAAUCCCUCUGACUUGCUUUGAAUGGCCAAUACUUGAUAACCUUUUGGUCUCAGUGGAUUCUUAUUGUUAGAUCCACUGAUGUUCAUUAGUUAUCUCCUACGAGCCAUUGUAUUGCAAGUCGAGGAGAUGACCUAUAUCAUUAAAAGAGCAUUUAUGAGGUUCAACUACCCUUUUUGUAAGUUUUCAAGGACUAAAACUCAGUUGUUAAACUCAUACCGGUUCGGGAAGUAAGCAUCACCUUAGUUGCUUCCCCAACUCGAGGUGAAAAGUCCCAAAAUCUCCAUUUUUACACAGUGAGUUAAGCAUGGCUAUCCAAAGCUUUGAGAAACUUCUUUUUCCAUCUUUUAACCUAUUUUCAUGUUAGUUUAGUUUACAACACCUUCAUCUUUUUAUGUUUUCAUCUUAACCUAAUUUUUAUUAAGAAAAGUUCACUCCAUCCUCCGAACUUCACCAGUUAAAGUAAAAACCCUUCCCAGUGUUCGAUCCUAGAGCCACUAUGCUAUAGUAGCUUUGCUACUUUAGUGUAAGGACCUUAGGUAUAAAUUUUGUUGAUACCCUUACAUGCCAAGCUACCAAGAGUCGGGCUAUCAAUCACCAAACCCAUGAAUACAACCAGAUCAAGUGGCCAUAUCUAAGCAAUCUUUUGAUAAGCCUACUAAAAAUUUUCAUGAUCUUUUUCUUCUUCUUAUUCCCAGUUGUGUCAUAUUAUAAGGGUUCAAAGAAAAUUAUGAGUCCAGAGAUUCAUACACAUCAUAAGCCACUACUUUGAUUUUAUUUCUCAUGGUGGGUGGAUGUGCCACCAGCUUGCUCUGCCGGUGCUAACAUCUCUCCAUAAGAAAAGAUGUGAAGUGGUGUCCUACCUGAUUUCAGUUUAAUAAAUUUGCUACUGAUAAUGUGCUACAAUUUUUGAAUGAGUAAAAAGUAAGCUUUUAUUUUUAAAAACUAAAAGCACUUUUAAAAACCAUUUUCAAACCCAAAUCAAGUAGGUUUUAAUGCCUUGAAUUCACUAAUAAGUUAAAUAAUUUUAGAAAAUAAUUUGAAACUUAAAUAUUCACUCAAUUAAUACAAAAAUUGAUCUAAAAUGACUUCACUAUUUCCCUUAUAUGUGAAACCAUAAUUUUAUAAAUUUUCUCAAUAAAAAAAUAUACUUUGAAGCAAGCACACAUAAUUUUUUAAUUUUAAAAAAUAAUUUGAAACUAAAAUUGACUCGAAGUAACAUAGUUGUUUCUUCUUUACACAUAAUUACACUUUUAUGAAUUUUCUCACUAAUUUUAAAUCAAAUAAGACUUCACGAGUUUAAUAAUUUUUAAAAAUAAUUUAGAAUACUCAAUUAAUAUGAGAAAAUAAUAGACUAAAAUAUUGGUUCAAGAUGAGUUAUGGUUUUAUUAUUUCUUCUCUCUAGACAAUUAUACUUUUUUUUAAUUUUCUCACUAGCUAAAUGGAUUGUAAAUCAAAUAAGAUGAAAUCAAGUUGACUAAAUUAAUUACAAAUUAAAUCAAAAUUAGUUCAAAAUAUUCUAUCCGUAAUUUGAUAUUAAGUGUAUAUAUAUGUAAUAAAAAAACUUUUUAUUUUUACAUUAAAAAAUAUAAACUUUAAAUAUUUUUACUUUUUUUUCCUUUUUUGCUUUAAAAAGUGUUUUUAAAAAACAACUUUAUCAAACACCCAUGAUUUAAAAAAAAUACUAUUUUUUUUAACUUAAAAACAAUUUUUAAAAAUAAGUUUAAGAAAAGAUGACAUUGCCACAAGGAAGAAUCUUGACAAAAGAAAAUAAUAAUUUUUAAUUGGGAAUGUAAAAGGUAACUAAUUAUUUUGUUUUAUGGGAUGAUUUUUUAUAAGAGUAUGACAAUUUUAAAAAAUCGUUUUUAAAUUAUCGUAGUAGGAAAAAUAAUUCCAAAUCUACCAUAGUUUAGUUCAAAUAGGAAAGAGCGAGAAAUCAUCUCUUAAAGAAACAAUUUUCACAAAAAAAAUAUAUAUGCGAGAAAUUCUCACUUAAAAAAAAAUUCAAGUGGAAAAUCGUUUCUUCAAAAGACGAUUUCCACAACACAAAACUAAAAAAUUAUCACUUAAAAUAAAAUAAUAAUAAAAUAUUAAAAAAACCCAAGUGAGGAAUUAUUUUUCACUUAUAAUUUGAUGAUUUCCCUUUUGGGUUUUUUUAUUAUUAUUAUUAUUUUAUUUUAAGUGAAAAUUUCUCAUUUUUGUAGUAUUUUUUUUAAAAUAAGAAUUUCUCAUAUAUAUUUUGUGUGAAAAUUAUUUUUUUAAAAGACGAUUUCUCAGUUAAUUUUACUUAUUUUUUAUUUUUAAAAAUCGUUUCUUUAAAAGAUGAUUUCUUAUUUAUUAAAUUUUUUUGAAGUCAUCUCUUCUCAUAUAACAAAUGGAAUUAUAGAAAUCGUGCAAAAAAAGUUCAUAAAUCCUCUUUUGAAAAGAGGAUUUUUCACUUCUAAUUUAUUUUUUUAUUUUUUAUUUGAACAAAAAUUGAUUUGAAAUUAUUUUUCCUAACUGCUAUGCCAGAUGAGGACGAGAUAAAAAAGCACGGUCUUCGAGAAGGAUGUCCAUAAUUCAGGAAUUAUUUUUUAAAACCGCCGGACUGGUGGGUGCAAGAUUGACAGAGACAGGGACCCUCUGGGCUCUGGCCCUCUGGGCAAAUGGUCAACAAAGGGUAUAGAAUAUGAAGUUAUAAGCACCAAAAUAUGUGGCUGCAAAUUAGGUCCACCCAAUGUCUAUUUCUCAAUGAAAAAACCUUGUGGUAGGUGAUGACUGAUGACUGAUGACUUGGCCUCACCCUGCAGAAUCUAAUGCGAAUCUAUCUCAAAGGCACAGAUUCUUACAGGUUGUCAGAAUGACGCUAUUGUCUACAGCCUUAGACUAAACAAGAGUUUGAUAAUUCCUCUUAUUUUAAUCACCGACAGUCACAGCUAUAGUUGCUUUUAACUAACAAUUAAUUUGUUUAAAAAUAAGGGGAGAAUUAUGUUUUGAUGGGCCAAUUUAGGAAUAAUAACAUUUUCGGAACCCAACUUUCCAUAAUGCAAGAUAUGUCCACUGUUUGGAAAAAUAUUAAAGGAAACAUGCAUUCUGGCCUGAGGUGUUAUUUCAUACCGAAAAUACCCCUCUAUUGUUCAUCGUCCCUGUGAAAGGUCCCGAUAUUUCCUACCAGCCCACGCAGGCUGCAAAAUCUGUCCAAUUUUUUAUUUUUAUUUUAUUUUAAAAACAUAAGAUGCUAUUUGGUAACCUGAUCGUGAUUUGCAGGCAAAGGUUGGAUUUUUCAGCAUGGCUCAAAAAUCGUGGAUUUAGGGUUUGUGAAAUUUAAAUCCAAUGGCCCAAAAUCAAAGAGACCCCUAGAUCAGAUCAAGAAAACACAUGGAGGAAAAAAAAAAAGCACUUUUUUUUUUGUUUUUCUUGGGGGUUUUGCAUGGAUUUUGUCGGAAAUCAAACGAGGAUGGAUUUUCUCGGAAAUCAAACGAGGAUGAAUUUUCCCGGAAAUCGAAUGGGGGAUGGAUUUUCUUGGGAAUCAAACGGGGGUUGCAAAAAAAAAAAUAAUAACUUGAUUAGAUUAGUACCUGCGAGGAUUGAGAAUGGCAGAGGAAAAAAUAGGGCUUUUUUAAGGGAUUCUCUCGUCUGGAGGCCAACUUCAGGAAAGGGCCUCGGAAAUCAAACGAGGAUGGAUUUUCUCGGAAAUCAAACGAGGAUGAAUUUUCCCGAAAAUCGAAUGGGGGUGGAUUUUCUUGGGAAUCAAACGGGGGUUGCAAAAAAAAUAAUAAUAACUUAUUAGAUUAGUACCUGCGAGGAUUGAGAAUGGCAGAGGAAAAAAUAGGGCUUUUUUAGGGAUUCUCUCGUCUGGAGGCCAACUUCAGAAAAGGGCCUCGGAAAUCAAACGAGGAUGGAUUUUCCCGGAAAUCGAAUGGGGGUGGAUUUUCUUGGGAAUCAAACGGGGGUUGCAAAAAAAAUAAUAAUAACUUGAUUAGAUUAGUAUCUGCGAGGAUUGAGAAUGGCAGAGGAAAAAAUAGGGCUUUUUUAGGGAUUCUCUCGUCUGGAGGCCAACUUCAGAAAAGGGCUCCUUGAUGCCCGAGUGAGAGACGGUGUCGUGAGAGACGGUGGCUGCUGACAGGGACAACUAAAGGGCAAUUUUGGAAUAGCAUUUUAAAACAGUAGAUAGUGCAUGUUUCAUUUAAUAUUUUUCCAAACAAUGGACAUAUCUUGGAUUAUGGAAAGUUGGGUUCCGAAAAUGUUAUUAUUCGCAAAUUGGCCCAUCAAAACAUAAUUCUCCCUUAAAUAAAUUAAAUUAAAAAAAAAAUGGCGCAGAAAGGAGAUUUACCGGUCGAGUUUUCCGACUGAGAGCGAGAUUAAUCAAAAAGGCACUGCCGGCGGACAAGAAAAUACCACACCCAAUUGCGCGGAAGCCUGUUACAAAAAUAGAACGACCCAUGAGAAUCCUUCCAAAGAGAGAAGCAAAAAUUUUCCACUGAAUUUUUAGCAAAGGGAAACGGGAGAAAAACCUCUGUAAGUCUCCCAUGGGUAGACGGUCCCGUCUUUGUUCUGGUCAAAGAAAGCAACGUGCUUCUGAAGAGCACUCAGAUCACCCCCCAGUCCUGCAUGAAAGCCCAAAAAAAAACAGAAAAAAAAAAAAAAAAAAAAAAAACCUCUUUAGCUUCCCUAAAGAACAAAAUUAAAGACCCAAAAAAGAUGGAGAGGAUCCUGCAGGCUCUCAUGACCUUCAUUCGAAAUGGGCCUACAAUCAUCAGAAGAAGACGAUGAAGAAGAAGCCAUGUGUACGAGACUCUAAUCAACUUGGGGGUGGGUAGGUGUGGGAAUCGGUACUGGUGUUUAGAGGAUGAAAAGGGAAAAUAAUCGUGAAAAAUCAAAGCAAAGGAGGGAACCCAAGACUUGGUUGUUGCAUCUGACAGUACACCCAUAAAUACAAGGCAAGAGCGCCGCCAACGAUUCUAUUCCCCAACUCUCCUUAUACAGCACUGUUCCUUUUCUGUAACUUUAUUUUAUCCCAAUGUUUUUGCUUCCAUAAAAAAACAGUAACCAAUAAGCAAUGCCUCCGUGCCUCUGUUUUAGAUUUGAUGCCCAUUAUAAUAAAGUUGGAGAAGCGUCCUUCUUUGAACAACAGGUAUGUCUUAAUAUGCACCUUGAAAAUGCUUGGUGGCCUAAACGCUGCCUCUCUCCAAAUCUCAACCCACUUUCCGUUUGACCAGGCCAUUCCGUUAACCUAUACUUGGGUGCAAUAUCCAAUCUUCAAAAUGAUUAAAAAAAAAGGGUGAUUUACAAGCCCAUUGUUAGAUCACAUGUCCAAAUUAUGCUUUUGGGGUACGGAAUUGACAGUGAUCAUCACAUAAUGUAAAAAGUCUCAAUAUUAUCAAAUUAUGAGCUUAUUUUUACCUGUGGUUGGGUGGUGAAGUAAGAAUAAAGCCACGAAAUUGCCAAAAUAGACAUUGAAGGAUUUUGAAGAAUCCCAAGAAAAAAGCAAUUGGCUUUAACUUUACAAAAAGAAAAAUGAUGGGUUGCGAAGAGAUACAUGCUUAUAAGUCACUCCCCCACCCCUCCCUCUCUCUCUCUCUCUCUCUCUCUCUCUCUCUCUCUCUCUCUCUCUCUAUAUAUAUAUAUAUAUAUAUAUAUAUAUAUAUAUAUAUGCUUGAUGAUACGACAUGUAGAAUUGGGGUAAAAUUGGAAACAUCUAUUUAUUUGAUGGAAGCAUGAAACAUCUGGAUGGAUGGAUAAUCAUAAAACCCAAAGUAAUGAAUUGGCGUAUCCGCAAGCGGCGGAAGCCCAUGGAUAAAACUCCUGACACGUGCUCCACCUGCAUGUUGCCUGGACUUUUCUCAAUAGUACAGCAAUUUAAAAAAGUUAUGCUUAAAUUACUGUACUGGCAGAAGUUAUUACAAAUAUAGGGUAGUUUUUGCCACAUAGGAGAGAGGAGAGAGGAAAGAGGAGAGAGGAGAGAGGGUGAGAGAAGAGAGGAAAGAGGAGAGAGGAGAGAGGGUGAGAGAGAGGAGAUAGGAGAGAGGAGAGAGGAGAGAGGGUGACUGUAAAAAAAAAGCAAACUCGUCUCUUGAAGAGACGAGUUCCAUGAAAGAAGAGAGGAAAGAGGAGAGAGGAGACAGGGUGAGAGAGAGGAGACAGGAGAGAGGAGAGAGGGUGUGUAAAAAAAAGCAAACUCGUCUCUUGAAGAGACGAGUUCCAUGAAAAAAAAUAUAUAUAUAAUUUUAAAAAAAUUCUAAACAAUUAUUCAAGGGAACUCGUCUCUUGAAGAGACGAGUUCCAUGUAAAAAAAUCCCAAAUUUAAAAAAAAAAAAAAAAAAUUUCCAAAAAGGGAACUCGUCUCUUCAAGAGACGAGUUCCAUGUAAAAAAAAAUAUAUUUUUUAUUUUAAAAAAUCCCAAAUUUAAAAAAAAAAAAAAAAAAUUCCAAAAAAAAAAAAUUUCCAAAGGGAACUCGUCUCUUGAAGACACGAGUUCCAUGUAAAAAAAAAUAUAUUUUUUAAAAAAUAUAAUUUUUAUUUUAAAAAAUCCCAAAUUAAAAAAAAAAAAAAAUCCAAAGGGAACUCGUCUCUUCAAGAGACGAGUUCCAUGUAAAAAAAAAAAAUAUUUUUAAAAAUAUAUAUAUAUUAAAAAAAAAUCCCAAAUUAAAAAAAAAAACACAAUUCCAAAGUGAAGAGACGAGUUCCAUGUAAAAAAAUAUAUAUUUUUUAAAAAAUAUAUUUUUUAUUUUAAAAAAUCCCAAAUUUAAAAAAAACAAAAAUAAAUUCCAAAGGGAACUCGUCUCUUGAAGAGACGAGUUCCAUGUAAAAAAAAAUAUAUUUUUUUAAAAAUAUAUAUAUUAAAAAAAAAACACAAUUCCAAAGAGACGAGUUCCAUGUAAAAAAAUAUAUAUUUUUUAUUUUAAAAAAUCCCGAAUUAAAAAAAAAAAAAAUUCCAAAGGGAACUCGUCUCUUCAAGAGACGAGUUCCAUGUAAAAAAAAAAUUAUUUUUUUUAAAAUAUAUAUAUAUUAAAAAAAAAAUCCCAAAUUAAAAAAAAANNNNNNNNNNNNNNNNNNNNNNNNNNNNNNNNNNNNNNNNNNNNNNNNNNNNNNNNNNNNNNNNNNNNNNNNNNNNNNNNNNNNNNNNNNNNNNNNNNNNUUUUUAAAAAAAAAUUUUUUUUUUUUUAGAAAAUCCCAAAAUUAAAAAAAAAAAAAAAUAAAUUUCAAAGGGAAUUUUUUUUUUUAAAAGGCGGAGUCCCAGUAAAAAAAAAAAUUUUUUUUUUAAAAUAUUUUUUUUUAAAAAAAAACCCAAUUUCCAAGGGGGGGGGUCCCGGUAAAAAAAAUUUUUUUUUUUUUUUAAAAAAUCCCGAAUUAAAAAAAAAAAAAAUUCCAAAGGGGACUUGUUUUUUCAAGGGGGGGGUUCCCAGUAAAAAAAAAAAUUUUUUUUUUUAAAAAUUUUUUUUUUAAAAAAAAAAUCCCCAAUUAAAAAAAAAAAAAAAAAAAAAAUAAUUCCAAAGGGAACUCGUUUUUUCAAGAGACGGGUUCCCAUGUAAAAAAAAAAUAUUUUUUUAAAUAUAUAUAUUUUUAAAAAAAAAAAAAAAAAAAAAAACAAUUCCUCAAAAUUCCUAACAGACGAGUUCUCAUCUAAAAAAAAAUAUUUUUUUUUUAAAUAUAAAAUAUAUUUUUUAAAAAAUAUAUUUUUUAUUUUAAAAAAUCCUGAAUUAAAAAAAAAAAAAAAAAAAUUCCAAAGGGAACUCGUCUCUUCAAGAGACGAGUUCCAUGUAAAAAAAAAGUUAUUUUUUUUAAAAUAUAUAUAUAUUAAAAAAAAAUCCCAAAUUAAAAAAAAAAAAAAAAAUUAAUUCCAAAGGGAACUCNNNNNNNNNNNNNNNNNNNNNNNNNNNNNNNNNNNNNNNNNNNNNNNNNNNNNNNNNNNNNNNNNNNNNNNNNNNNNNNNNNNNNNNNNNNNNNNNNNNNNNNNNNNNNNNNNNNNNNNNNNNNNNNNNNNNNNNNNNNNNNNNNNNNNNNNNNNNNNNNNNNNNNNNNNNNNNNNNNNNNNNNNNNNNNNNNNNNNNNNNNNNNNNNNNNNNNNNNNNNNNNNNNNNNNNNNNNNNNNNNNNNNNNNNNNNNNNNNNNNNNNNNNNNNNNNNNNNNNNNCCCUGUAAAAAAAAAAAAAAAUUUUAAAAAUAUAUUUUUUAUUUUAAAAAAUCCCAAAUUAAAAAAAAAAAAAAAAAUCCAAAGGGAACUCGUUUCUUGAAGAGACGAGUUCCAUGUAAAAAAAAAUAUAUUUUUUUAAAAAUAUAUAUAUUAAAAAAAAAUUCCCAAAUUAAAAAAAAAAAAAAAAAACACACACACACAAUUCCAAAGGGAACUCGUCUCUUCAAGAGACGAGUUCCAUGUAAAAAAAAAAUAUUUUUUAAAAAAUAUAUUUUUUAUUUAAAAAAAUCCCAAAUUUAAAAAAAAAAAAAAAAUCCCAAAGGAAACUCGUCUCUUGAAGAGACGAGUUCCAUGUAAAAAAAAAAAUAUUUUUUUAAAAAUAUAUAUAUUAAAAAAAAAAUUCCCAAAUUAAAUAAAAAAAAAAAACACACACACAAUUCCAAAGGGAACUCGUCUCUUGAAUAGAGUUCGCUUGAUGAAUUGUUUUUUUAAAUAUUUUUUUUUAAAAAAAAUUUGUUUUUACGAACUCAUCUUAAAAAGACGAGUUCCCUUUAGGAAUUAUGAGGAAUUGUUUUUUUUUUUUUUUUUUAAUAUAUAUAUUUAAAAAAAAAAAAAAUUUUUACAUGAAGAGACGAGUUCCCUUUGCAAUUUUUUUUUUUUAUUUUUAAAUUUGGGAUUUUUUAAAAUAAAAAAUAUAUUUUUUUUUACAUGGAACUCGUCUCUUCAAGAGACGAGUUCCCUUUGGAAUUGUGUUUUUUUUUUUUUUUUUUUUUAAUUUGGGAUUUUUUUUUUAAUAUAUAUAUAUUUUUAAAAAAAUAAUUUUUUUUUUACAUGGAACUCGUCUCUUGAAUAGACGAGUUCCCUUUGGAAUUUUUUUUUUUUUUUUUUAAUUUGAGAUUUUUUAAAAUAAAAAAUAUAUUUUUUAAAAAAUAUAUUUUUUUUACAUGGAACUCGUCUCUUCAAGAGACGAGUUCCCUUUGGAAUUUUUUUUUUUUUUUUUUAAAUUUGGGAUUUUUUAAAAUAAAAAAUAUAUUUUUUAAAAUAAAAAAUAUAUUUUUUAAAAAAUAUAUUUUUUUUUUACAUGGAACUCGUCUCUUCACUUUGGAAUUGUGUGUGUUUUUUUUUUUUUUUUUAAUUUGGGAAUUUUUUUUUAAUAUAUAUAUUUUUAAAAAAAUAUAUUUUUUUUUACAUGGAACUCGUCUCUUCAAGAAAAAACGAGUUUCCUUUGGGAUUUUUUUUUUUUUUUAAAUUUGGGAUUUUUUAAAAAAAAAAAUAUAUUUUUUUUUACAUGGAACUCGUCUCUUCAAAAAACAAGUUCCCUUUGGAAUUGGGGGUUUUUUUUUUUUUUUUUAAAUUUGGGAUUUUUUUUUUAAAAUAUAUAUUUUUAAAAAAAUAUUUUUUUUUUUACAUGGAACUCGUCUUUUCAAAAAACGAGUUCCCUUUGGAUUUUUUUUUUUUUUUUUUUAAUUUGGGAUUUUUUUAAAAAAAAAANNNNNNNNNNNNNNNNNNNNNNNNNNNNNNNNNNNNNNNNNNNNNNNNNNNNNNNNNNNNNNNNNNNNNNNNNNNNNNNNNNNNNNNNNNNNNNNNNNNNNNNNNNNNNNNNNNNNNNNNNNNNNNNNUUUUUUUUUUUUUUUUUUUAAUUGGGGAUUUUUUUUUUAAUAUAUAUAAAUUUUUAAAAAAAUAAUUUUUUUUUUACAUGGAACUCGUCUCUUGAAUAGACGAGUUCCCUUUGGAAUUUUUUUUUUUUUUUUUUAAUUUGAGAUUUUUUAAAAUAAAAAAUAUAUUUUUUAAAAAAUAUAUUUUUUUUACAUGGAACUCGUCUCUUCAAGAGACGAGUUCCCUUUGGAAUUUUUUUUUUUUUUUUUUAAAUUUGGGAUUUUUUAAAAUAAAAAAUAUAUUUUUUAAAAUAAAAAAUAUAUUUUUUAAAAAAUAUAUUUUUUUUUUACAUGGAACUCGUCUCUUCACUUUGGAAUUGUGUGUGUUUUUUUUUUUUUUUUUAAUUUGGGAAUUUUUUUUUAAUAUAUAUAUUUUUAAAAAAAUAUAUUUUUUUUUACAUGGAACUCGUCUCUUCAAGAAGAGACGAGUUUCCUUUGGGAUUUUUUUUUUUUUUUAAAUUUGGGAUUUUUUAAAAUAAAAAAUAUAUUUUUUUUUACAUGGAACUCGUCUCUUCAAGAAACGAGUUCCCUUUGGAAUUGUGUGUUUUUUUUUUUUUUUUUUAAUUUGGGAUUUUUUUUUAAAAAUAUAUAUUUUUAAAAAAAUAUAUUUUUUUUUACNNNNNNNNNNNNNNNNNNNNNNNNNNNNNNNNNNNNNNNNNNNNNNNNNNNNNNNNNNNNNNNNNNNNNNNNNNNNNNNNNNNNNNNNNNNNNNNNNNNNCAUGGAACUCGUCUCUUCAAGAGACGAGUUCCCUUUGGAAUUUUUUUUUUUUUUAAAAAAAAAAAAUUGGGAUUUUUUAAAAUAAAAAAUAUAUUUUUUUUUACAUGGAACUCGUCUCUUCAAGAGACGAGUUCCCUUGAAUAAUUGUUUAGAAUUUUUUUAAAAUUAUAUAUAUAUAUUUUUUUUCAUGGAACUCGUCUCUUCAGUUUGCUUUUUUUUACACACCCUCUCUCCUCUCUCCUGUCUCCUCUCUCUCACCCUCUCUCCUCUCUCCUCUCUUCUUUCAUGGAACUCGUCUCUUCAAGAGACGAGUUUGCUUUUUUUUUUACAGUCACCCUCUCUCCUCUCUCCUCUCUCCUCUCUCUCACCCUCUCUCCUCUCUCCUCUCUCCUCUUUCCUCUCUUCUCUCACCCUCUCUCCUCUCUCCUCUCUCCUCUCUCCUAUGUGGCAAAAACUACCCUAUAUUUGUAAUAACUUCUGCCAGUACAGUAAUUUAAGCAUAACUUUUUUAAAUUGCUGUACUAUUGAGAAAAGUCCCAUGUUGCCGCCUACUUUUUUAAUACUUGCAUGUUUCCAGCUGGCCGCGUUUAGAUUUUCACGAAUCACGCUUUCACACUACCAAUUUCUUUUAAAUUUGCUUCAUUCGGAGAAAAUUUUUAAUUGAAACAUCUAUCAGGCUAAAUAUAUCUAUUACGUAUAAAUUCAUCGAAUUCUCUUUUUGUUUUUAGAUUUUCUAUAAAUCACACUUUCUUACUAUUUAAUUUGCUUCAUUUGAAAAAAUAAUAAUAAUUGGAAUCUCUGUCGAGGUGUGGCUAAAUAUAUCUAGUGUAUAUAAGUUCAUCGAAUUUUUCUUUUGUUUUUAGAUUUUCCACAAAUCACGCUUUCUCACUAUUUAAUUUGCUUCAUUUGGAGAAAUUUUUUAAUUGGAACUUCUAUCGAGGUUUGGCUAAAUAUAUCUAGUGAGUAUAAGUUUAUCGAAUUCUUCUUUUGCUUUUAGAUUUUCCACAAAUCACGCUUUCUCACUAUUUAAUUUGCUUCAUUUGGAGAAAUUUUUUAAUUGGAAUCUUUGUCGAGGUUUUGCUAAAUAUAUCUAGUGCGUAUAAGUUCAUCGAAUUCUUCUUUUGCUUUUAGAUUUUUCACAAAACAUGUUUUCUUACUAUUUUAUUUGCUUCAUUUAGAGAAAUUUUUUAAUUGGAAUCUCUGCCGAGGUUUGGUUAAAUAUAUCUAGUGAGUAUAAGUUAAUCGAAUUCUUCUUUUGUUUUUAGAUUUUCCACAAAUCACGCUUUCUCACUAUUUAAUUUGCUUCAUUUGGAGAAAUUUUUUAAUUGGAAUAUCUACCGAGGUUUGACUAAAUAUAUCUAGUAAGUAUAAGUUUAUCGAAUUCUUCUUUUGCUUUUAGAUUUUUCACAAAUCAUGCUUUCUCACUAUUUAAUUUGCUUCAUUUUGAGAAAUUUUUUAAUUGGAACCUUUGUCGAGGUUUUGCUAAAUAUAUAUAGUGCGUAUAAGUUCAUCGAAUUUUUCUUUUACUUUUAGAUUUUUCACAAAACAUGUUUUCUCACUAUUUUAUUUGCUUCAUUUGGAGAAAAAUUUUAAUUGGAACCUCUGUCGAGGUUUGGUUAAAUAUAUCUAGUGAGUAUAAGUUAAUCGAAUUCUUUUUUUGCUUUUAGAUUUUCCACAAAUCAUGCUUUCUCACUAUUUAAUUUGCUUCAUUUGGAGAAAUUUUUUAAUUGGAACUUCUAUAGAGGUUUGGCUAAAUAUAUCUAGUGUGUAUAAGUUCAUCGAAUUCUUCUUUUGCUUUUAGUUUUUUUACAAAUCACGCUUUCUCACUAUUUAAUUUGCUUCAUUUGGAGAAAUUUUUUAAUUGGAACCUCUGUCGAGGUUUGGAUAAAAUAUAUUUAGUGCAUAUAAGUUCAUCAAAUUCUUCUUUUGCUUUUAGAUUUUUCACAAAUCACGUUUUCUCACUAUUUAAUUUGCUUCAUUUGGAGAAAUUUUUUUUAAUUAGAAUCUUUUUGAGGUUUAUUGAAAUAUAUCUAGUGUGUAUAAGUUCAUUGAAUUCUUUUUUUUUUUUUUUUUUUUUUUUUUAUCACUUGGCUCCCUUAUGAAAUUUGAAACUUUUAUGAGGACAAGAUAUAUUUAAUAAAAAAUUGAGGAGAAGUGAAUAAUUUUUUUUAUAAAAUUUGAUAAAAAGGAUAACACAUUUAGUUAACACCAUCUAAAUUAAUAUUAGAUUUCAAAUACUUUAAAAAGUUCGUUUUACAGUGCUGUUAGGAAACAUUUUUAACUUAAAAAAUGUUUUUUUUUUAAAAAAAAAAUUAAAUGUUUUAUAAAUUUUAGGAAACAUUUUAAAUAUUUGAAAAAUCAGUUAGAUCAUUUGACAGUGAUUUUAAAAAAUGUUUUUAAUCUUUUUAACAAUUGAAAUUUUUUGUCAUUUAGUGUUAGAAAUGUUAAAAUCGUUUUCUAAAAUUACUUCAAAAUACACUUUUAGAGUGUGUUUGAUAUUGAUUUUAGAAAACAUUUUCAGUCUUUAUAACUCUUUAAUGAUAAAAAAAUUUAAGUAUUAAAAAUACUAGAAACACUUUUAUAAUUAUUAUCAAAUGGAUUGUUAGAGUGUAUUUGGUAGUGAAUUUUUGAAAAGUUUUUAGUAUUUUUAACACUUAAAUUUUUUUUACUUUUAAGUAUUAAAAAUAUAAAAAACACUUUGUAAAAUCAUUGUCAAACAUACCUUUAUAGUAGUGACAAAUCACUUAUAUUUUACAAAGAAACACUUUAUAAGUGAUUCUCUUAAAAACACUUUUAAGAAAAAUAUUUUUGUGGAAAAUAAAAUUACUUGAAGUAGAAAUAUUGUAAAACACAUUCUAAAUGUUUUUUUUUUUAUAAAAAAAAGGUAACUUUUGCAGGAUUUAUUUUUACGUGAUGAGUGAUAUGAUAAAAAUUAUUCACAAAAUAUUAAGACUAUGUUUGAUUAUCAAAAUACAUGAAAAAGUAUUUUAAAGAAAAUGGUUUUCUUAUAUUUGAUUUUAUCAUAAAAAAAUAUAAUUAAAAUUAUUUAAUUUUUAUAUAAUAAAAAAAUAAAGUAAAAUAAAUUUUAAAAACAUAUAAAAUAAUUAAUUGACUUAAAUUUUUUUUUUCUUAAUUUUCUCUUCCCAUUUUAUUACCUUACAUUUUCCUUAAAAGAUUAUGGGAAUGAAACGUAGUCUAAAUUAAAAAAAAAAAAAAAAAUCUUUUUUUUUUGGGGCAUUUAAUCAAUCAGCUCAUGUGAUACGAGAUGAUAAAGAAAUAAAAAUUCCAAAGGAGAAAAGAAGUUAGUUAUGGCGGGCAUCUAUGCCCACUGAGUGACAAGUGACAAGCAUGAGAGGUUACAGCGGACCCUAAAAUGCCUUCACUUUGCCAACAUUUCAAUUUUCAAGCCAGCAAACAGAUGAAAUUCCAGGAUUCACUGUUAAGUGUUAACUUCAUCCAUGAUAAGAUAACCGACCCACCAUUCGUGUGUGGGGGUCACCCACUCAAGUGCCAACAGGCUCCAGAGAAUGGAAAUACAGGAAUUUUUAAAAUUUUUUUUUUAGAUUUUUGGCGGCGUCAAACACAAGGGCCGCAGAGACGCAAAAGGAACAGGAAACAUGAUGAAUCUGAACACGCAAGUACAACAGUCUGAAUACGCAUGAUUUAGGGAAAAUCACGCAUGGUAACUUCCUCCUUCAGUCUUUCUUUCUUCUAAAGGAUUCAUCAUUUCCUUCCACGCUAACAAAAUACUCUCUUAUGCGAAAAUGGAAAAUGAGAAUUUUCAUUAUUAUUUUUCUUCUUUAUUUCUAUAUUUGACUAAUAUAAUAAGUGGUGAUGAGAAUGAAAUCAAAAGUAAUUUCCAAAAUAAUAAAAUCUUAUUUAUUAAUAAAAUUUCAAUUCAUAUUUAGAAGGAGGUAUUUUAAUUUCUUAUUAUGAGUUAUUUUUAAAAAUAUUUUUUACAAAUAAAAAAAUCAAAUCUUUUUUUAUAAAUAAGUCGUUUAUAAAAAUAAUUUUUUUAAUGAAUAUAAUAUAAAUAAAUUUAUUUUAAAUCUUAUUAAAAUAAAAAAAAUAAUUUUGUCAUUACAAAUAAAUUAAAAAAUACAUAUUUUUAAUAAAAUAUAAAUAAUAUUAUUAUAAUAAAAUCAUAAAUUAUAUUUUUUUAUAGAUAUUAAUAUCUUAUAAAAACAUAAUUGAUUUAUUUUUUUAUAACUAAAUAAUAAUAAUUUAAAAUUAAUAAUUGUUAAUACAUAUCUUAAAAACUUAUUAAACUUAUUACUUUAUUUUUAAAAUUUGUUUCUCGAGAACAAGUAUUAAUUUUCUUAAAAAAAAUUAUUCUAAAGCACGAGUCCUUUUUAUUAUUUAGUAAAAAAACACUUAAAAAUAUUUUUUAAAUAAAAAAAAUAUUUUAAACCAUGUAUGUAUGAGAGCUUUUUUGCUUUUUCAAAGAAUAAAAAAUAAAAGAUUAUUUUAAAUUAUAUGUUAUAAAUAUUUUGUCAAUUCAUCUUUUUUUUUUUCAUUAUUUAACAUUAAAAUAGAGAUAAAUAAUCAUUAUAACCUUGAACACAAUAAUUGGAAUCAUUAAAAUUCAUUCAUAUUAAAAAGAAAUGGGAAUGGAAAGAAAAUCUUCAUUCCCAUUCCCAUUCCCAUUCCCAUGUACCAAACAUGGCCUAAAUGCACAAGAACAUUUCAUCAGACUGAUCAUUAUUUUUGGAUUUUAUGAAGUCAUCACAAGAGCAUGGGGGUUUUUUGCUUUUUCAAAAAUUACGGCUGGGCCACCGUCAUCCGUCCAUAUCUAAUGAGAACCAAUGAGGUUACAAUUUACAACCUACUAGUAAACAGGUUGAGCAUGCUUAAAUUGAAGACAUCAAUCAAUAUAAAACUGAAUGGAUGCCACCAUAAUAAGAUGGAGAGAGAUUUUUAAUACCAGAUCAAAUUGAAAGUUGACUCGGUUGAUAAUGAUAAACCCAGAACCAGCCAGAUCAAGGUUCAAGAGGGACAUGCCUGGUUUCUUAUUUAAAUGCACUGGUGCAUCACAUCCAUCUCAUAGUAAAUAAUAUAGACAACAAUUUUAUGGAAUAUUAAAUGUCAUCAAUUCACUGAAGAAUCCGACUUAUUCAGCUGAGCUACCAUUUGACACUAAAAACAUUUAACAUCAACAAUCCCAGGAUUGAGGAUUGAGGAUUGAUCCUUUUACUCUGGUCUCCUUUCUCAGACACAAACAUAUGUAAUAAAUAAACUAAGCCGAGAGUUGGAAUCAUCUAAUGUAUGUAUUUUAUAUACAUUAUCAUGCUCAUUCAACUCCCACCCAUUUCAGAGAAUACAACACUUCAGGACAAGCCCUUUUUGAUCAAUCCUCGCCUCUUCAUUGCCUGAAAAAAAAAAUGUUCCCACUGUGACCAACCUCAUAACCCCAAAUAAUAUAUUCUAGAGCAAAUAUAGGCUAUUUAGACAAGUGUAUCAAGAUUCAACAGAAACAUGGAACCAGUUACAUCAUCUGAUAACAACCACUGCUAUCAGUAAAUUUAGGCCAUCCAAUCUUCACGAGCUUUUACAGCAAUCCAACUUUCUAACCACCCAUUCACUAAGCAGUCCCGGCUGACAGAAAAUAAAUUGACAUAGCAUGGAUUCUACAAAGACAAUCUUCCCUUUUAUUUUUUUUUUAACAAUCUUGAAGAGAUAGAAAGAAAACACUAUUUCUGUCAAUCACCAGAAACAAAAUUAACAAACCUUCAGGAGGCUGAGCCAGCUUUCGAUUCUGGGGAGACAUCAUUUCUUUCUUCAAUUGAGUCAAUAUGUCCUCCAUUGUAUGCUCCCUCUGCCAAGUAGCAAGCAUGGGGAAAAGACUAGGUUCGACCUGGUAAUUUGACCAUCAUAAGCUUAUUAUCAAACAUACCACAGCAUAAAAAUUCUUGAAAGUAAAAUUACCCACCACUCCAGUUUCCUGAUUGACACAGGUCAUAUUUAUCCGAGUCUGGAACUUCACAGUUGGUGGAUUAUCCGGAUAGUCCUGACCACAGAACAGUUUCAACUGGUAGAUGCGCCCUUCAUGAACGGUCUGGCAAGCAGCAGUAAUUGCUAAGUAAGGAAUCACUUUCCACUCUUUUAAAGGGUGACAGUAGAGUUUAGAAGGAAAUAAGUUGUCUAAAAGCAGUAGUAGAAAGGUUUAACUGUCAAACAAAUUCUUCCAUGGGAAAAGAAUCUUGGACAAUCAUUUUCCUUAGGACGGAGGAAUUUUGUUGAACUGGGAUCACUUGCUCAUCAUUAUCAAAAUGGCACUCUGUCCACCAGGAAAAAAGUUUGACACAGAGAUACCAUUGUUUAGGCAGUCAGGAUUCAGUUUCCUACCAGCUAUUUGAGUUGGCAGCAUAAAUCAUAUUUGACCAUAGCAGUCACUUUCAGUUCAAACAUAUGAUUUUAAAUCUCUUCUGUAUUUCCAUAUCCAGGCCAUCAAAAGCACCAGCGUUUGAUUUCCUCUCACUAAUCAUUCAAUCAAGCAUUUACAGGUAUUUGAGCAUGAUUAAUUAGUCAAAACCAUAGGUUCAAGAAAAGCAUCCAACUAUAGAUAAUACCAACCACAUAAAUUCUUAACAUCUAGUUGAGAGAUUCAACCUGUAAGGAGUUCAUUAUAUCAUGAAAAUUGUGUGAAAAAGAAAAAACUCACAUUAGGAGGACCAAUGAUAGUCCCAGUCCACGACUGCAUGUAUAUAUCAUCAGCAUCAUCCAUUCCAUAACUGACAGUUCCAUCGCCAAUUCCCUUUUCCCCUCUCUCAAGCUCUUCCAGUAAUCUGAAAUUCCUUGGAACUGCAUAUGACCACAAAAUCACAAAGAUAUAUCUCCUGCUAUGCAUGCAAGCACUCAAAAGACCAUGUAGCAACAACAACCAGAAAAUUUUCCAAGAUAAGAUGAGAAUUUUGCAUUGAUUAUAGAAGAUGACAUAUUCGCAUCAUCUGCAUAUUUUUUCAGAACUUGAUACAGAAGCUGUUCACAAGUUAAGUCACAUAAAAUCCAUCUUAUUAAUGCUAAUUUCAUGAAGCAGAAACAUAAUUUUUUUAGUAUAAAUUUUUAAUGAUUAAGAAUAGAAAGAAAGUAUUAUAAAUUCGAGAAAGUACCUAAGCAUUAUAAAUUAGAGAAAGUAUCCAUGUUUCAAUCAUAAUCUCGCUUUAAGCUCCAGUAUUUGGGAAAACUAAAUCCACAAACUAGUACUAAGGAAGUCACACCAUAAUGCAGCAGGAGAUUGUGACACUUAUAUAAAGAAAAAUUCAAAAUCCAUGUCACUUGUAUAAAUAGAAAUUCAGUUCCAACCCAAAAGCUGUAUCAGGCAAGACGGCUCCAAAUCUGUAUCACCACUAUACCAUCUCAAAGCCACUUUGUGGAAGAUAGCUUCAAAGUCAUAUUCUGAGAGACAGAUCCAAAGCCAUAUCACUGGAUUGGCACUCAAAAUUUUCAGCCUAGAAAAUACCCUUGGAAAUGAUGCCCCUUACACUUACUGUGCUUAAAUUAUGUGAUUUGAAGGAUGAGCUCAGCCCACCUAGUCCAGGAUACAAUACAGCAUCAGUACGAGGAUUGCCUCAAUCCAAGCUCUAGGUGGUAAAGGGACGACAAAGGCUACAAAUUUAUGACCAGAAUAAGAAUAUCCAUUCCAAGAAGCUGUAUUACAUGGAGGCUAGAAAUUUAUGACCAGAAUAAUAACAUCUAUGAGUUUUGGUUGCACAUACUGUAUAUAUACUAAUGGAAAUUCUUUUUUUCCUUUUUUUUUUUUAAUGAUGCAAAAUCCACUAGUCUUGCUUCGCAAGAUAAGAGGAAAACCAUGGGCACACAUCUUGAGAAUAUAUAUAUAUAUAUAGGAAAAAAAAACAAAGGACAAAAGAUUCUAAAUGUUGGGACAACUAAAAAAGCUUGACCACAGGCAAGGAAAAUAGCUUCUAACUUUGUCAUUCUAAGUCAGCCAUGUACAUUCCAGAGGCUUAAACAUUGCUCUGAUGUGUAGAUGUUAUGGACAGAGAUUACAGGCAAGAUGUUUAGAGCAUUAAGUACAUGAGUAAAAAGGGGUUUGAAGACUGCAGUAUCAAUUGACAGUCACACUAUUGUAAAUCUAAAACAGAAGAAGCUGAGUACCCCUAAUAGUGUGUCACACAUCAAGGAAAUGGAUGGAAUCUGUCACAAUUCUAGCUCCAACUAAUCACGUUCUUAAGAGAACCAUAUGUUUCAUGUGCCAGGUGUGUAUGUAAUGGAAUUAGAAAUUGGAAAUGUUAUCAAUAUGGCUAGUUUCCUAUUUUUGUUAAUUCAUAUAUUAUUGGUUUUUUCAUCUACCUUUUUAUUUAUUAUUAUGAAGUCUAUGAAAUAAAAUUAUCAUAGUAUAAUCAAAUCUAUGAGAUUUGAAUAUUCAUGACAACAAUGCAUUCCAAGCCAUGCUACAAACUUGGAAAGGCAUGCCAGAGUGCUUCUCCAAAUGCACUCAGGAAAAAAUGCCUUUCAUUUUGCAUAAAUUCUGCAUGGCACGCCACUAGGUAGAUUGACAAAAACCUAGCAGUUCAGAGCAUAAUCAUUUUCCAUGCAUUAUUCUAGUAUAGGAUGUCAAGAAGUUAAUUUUAGAUAAUCAAUCAUAACAAAUUCCUACCAUUUCCUUUUAGGGCCUUUAAUCAGGCAUCAAACAAAUAAAUCUAGGAUAUCAAACACAAGUGACCAUUGUCACCACACAUGCAGACAACUCAACACCGAAAAGAAAUUUGAUCACACCAUCAAUAUGAGUUAUGAGCCUCAAAUAAGAUACAAAUGGUAUCCAGUACAUGCAAUACUUAGGGUGGCCAAUCACCAUGGAUGAAUAUGCCACUUGCAUUUUCCAUAUCUAAAUCCAAAUUUAUCUUCUCCAAAUACACUCAGGUAAAAAAGGCCUUUCAUUUUGCAUAAAUUCUACAUGGCAUGCCACUAAGUAGAUUAGCAAAAUCCUAGCAAUUCAGACCAUAAUCUCAUUUUCCAUGAAUUAUUCUUGUAUAGGAUGUCAAUAAGAAAAUUUCAGUUAAAAAACCAGUAUUAAUGAUCAAUCAUAACAAAUUACUGUCAGCUCCUUUUAGGGCCUUUAAUCGGGCAUCAAACAAAUCAAUCUAGGAUAUCAAACAUAAGUGACAUUGUCGCCUCAUAGCAACUUUUCAGCUCAGAAAAGAUACUCUUCACACCAUCAAUACAAGUUAUGAGAGUCAAAUAAGAUGCAAAUGGUAUCUGGUAUGUGCAAUACUAGGGCGGUCAAUCACCAUGGAUGAAUAUGCCACUUGCAUUUUCCAUAUCUGAAUCCAAAUUUAUCUUCUCGAUCUAUGUGUGAUCUUCUUGGUCAGUAAGAUCCAUGAAAUGGUUCUGAAAACCUCCCAACACCAUUGCAUGGUGGACCCAAAGAUAUUCAUUUUAUAAUCAUAUAUUAAAAAAUUACAUAAAAAGCUAAGGAAAGAGGGAUCCAUUGGUGAUCUCCUAAAGAAAACCAAUAUUCUUUUCCACCCAUACUGCUCAUCGCAUAUUGUGCUAAUGCUCCAGGUUAUACAGCAUAACAACAAGAAGAUCAGUACAGAGUACAAGACGCAUACUCAUACAGAGGCACUAAUACUCCUUUCGCAUUAGUUAAUUUCAGUCGAAAAGAAGCAAAACCUAGAAUACCGCAAUAUCAUACAAGCCAUUGCAAUUCAAUAGCAGCUCAAAUACCCAAAAUCUUAGGUAUUUCGCAGGAAACAAGGGAAACAAUUCAAACAGGAUAAGCAAAAUCGAAUGAAGGAACCCUAAUUGGGACAUAUUCCAACGAAGCAAACAACAAUUCCAGAAAACCCAAACAGCAACACAAAAUGCAACACAAUUUCUCAGAAUUCACCGAUGAAUUAUAAAUUGAACAGCAAAAACACGAAACGAUUCAAAGAGAAGAUGGAUCACAAUGAUAAGCGUGAGAAAUCUAGGGUUUGAAGCUCACCCACAACCCCUGAUCCUUCUGAACCCAUUUUAUGCUGGAUUCACAGAUAAAGCUAGGGUUUUUCUGUGGUCGAGAGGGUUUCGAGAGAGAGCUCUUUAGAGAGAGAAAACUAAAAGAGAGGGGACAAAGACAGCAGUCCAACCACAGUUCGCAGCGCCAGGUCUCGAUUUGGCAAUAUUAAUAUAUACACUGUGGGUAUUGGAGCGAUGAAUAAUUUCCUGUUGCAAGUCCACGGAUAUCACCGUAGACCCGUCAAUCCUAACCCUCCCCACACGUUUCAGUUUCAUCAUCGCACUUCCUAGCGUAUUACAAAAUCUCACGCGGUUCUUCAAAAUUUGAAGAAAAAAAAUGUGAAGCUUUGGGAAAGUGUUGGGAAAAUAGUGCAUUGCAUUGCGUCAAAUUAUUUUUUAUCAUAUAUAAUUUUAUAUAUAUAUAUAUAUAUUUAAUAUUAAUUUAUUUAAUAUUCUUUUAUUUAAUGAAAAUGUUUUUGCUGGAAUAUAUAUAUAUAUCAAAUUUAAAAUUAAUAAUAUUUUAAAUCAACCGAAAUUGUGAGAUUGCUCUUGACAAGAAAGCUUCUUCCUGUACAAUAAUGAGUGUUAGAAACGGAAACUGAUAUAGUGGUAGGUAUGAUUACUGGUAUAACUUGUUUGACAAACUCCUACACCAAACCAAAGUCAAGUGUCUCAUGUCACAUGUGGCCAAAUUUUAGUAUUUCAACUUUGAAUUUUUCUAUGACAAGUAAAUAUGUCAAUGUUCUCAUGACACACCCUCUACUUAAUCGAAGCAAGGUUAGGGGAUAAUUCCAUAACUAAAAGAUAUUUGAAUUUACUCUAUAUUGAUUGUUAUAAGAGGUGGUUAGUUCUAAGGGUUUGACUAUGAAAAGUUCCUCAAUUAUUAAAAAAAAUGCUAAUAAUUAUAAAUUAAUUUUCAUAGUCCUACUUAGAAGUAGGAAAUCUGUUACAACAUGGACUAAAUGGUUAGCUUCCUAUUUUACUAAUAUAUUUUCUAUAUGAAUUCUCCUUGGACUUUGAUUAUGAAUUCUCCUUUGAAGAAUUAAAUUUGAAUUUCUUAAUAAAUCCCUUCAUCAUAGGAAAGAAAAUGAGAGACCUCUUAGAAGAGUUUCAUGUCAACUUUUUUCAUCAUUUUCUUCAUGUACAGGUGUUUUGGGUUUUAUUUAAGGUUUUCUCUAAUACAGGAAAUGAACAUAGAAGUAGAUAUAAGUAGUCCAAAAAGUCAACAGAAUUUUGCAAUAUAUAUAUAUAUAUAGUUGUUUUUAUACAAAAAUUUGACAUAAAAGAAUAAUAAAACAAAAUUGAUCUAAAAAGUUUCUAUUAUUUUAACAUUGCAUUCAUUUCUUAUAUCGUGAAAAUACAUUUUCGCAAGAAACAAACACAUGGUCAUUGAGUCUGCCAAUUGGUAACCAUAUUUUUAAGUAAAAAUGCAUGUAUAUGAUAACCAAAUUGCUGAUGAUGUACAGAGCAAUGGAGCCCUUUGUGUAACGCCCAAGUUUUCUUUUUAAAGGGUAAUUUAGGAAAUUCUUAAUAAUGAUAUUAAAUUAAUUAAUUAAUUAAUUUAAUAAAAUGGAAGAGGGGUGAAAAGGUAAUUUUACGAAUAAUACCCUAGGUAUAAAUAGAAAAUUAUCUUCUUCCUUUUUUGAAUCGUAUUCCUAUUCGCAGAAAGUUUCCAGAAAACGUGAAAUUGAGGUCAGAUUUCAAGAUUUGAAGAACAAACCUCUAUAAGUAAGUUUCUAACCCCUAGAUUAUUAUUUUAGAUUCAUUAGUUAAUUUCAAGCACAUUAGAUAUUUUUUUUUUGGAAAACCCCAAAUCUAGAUUAGGGUUAGAUUAUUUUUUUAAUUCGUUUUAAUAUCAAAUAGUAAAAAUUUAAGAUUUUGAUUUAUUAUUGGAAUUGGGAAGAUCUUAAGUUUUUUUUUAUUAGAAAAAAAAAAUUCCUGUGAAGAUUUCGAUUUAGAUUAGGGUUAGUUUAUUAUUAUUAUUUCGUUUUAAUAUCAAAAUAGUGAAAAUUUAAGAUUUUGAUUUAUUGUUGGAAAUUGGAAAUUCUUGAGCUUUUAGAAAAAAAAAAAAAAAACCUAGAAGACGUGUGUGCAUACCGUAGAAUUAGAGAAAAAAAAAAUGGAGGAUGCGUGUGCUCACUGAAAUUGGAGAAUGAAAAAAAAAAAAAAAAAAUAUAUAUAUAUAUAUAUAUAUAUAUAUAUAUAUAUAUAUGGGGUGUGGUUGUGUGUAGGGAUGGAGGAAGAAUGUUGUUAGUUAAUAUAUAUAUAUAUAUGUCUAUUGUUUGUUGGCAAUAAUGGAGUAUUGUUGGGAAUAAAGUUUAUGUUUAAAAAUAAAAAUGAGAGAAUAAAAGUUUUAAAUAAAAAGGAAGUAAAGUUUUUUUAUAUUAUAAUUAUGAGCAUAAGUUAAUAAAUAACAUAGAAAUUAAUUAUUGAAAUAAAUUAUAGUUUAAUUAAGUUGUGUCCCAAGAAAUAAAUUUUAAAAUAAGUAAAUAAAUUCAAUUUUAAAUGAAUUAGAAAUUUAUUAAUUUUUAAAAUAUGAAUAGAUUAAAUUACCUUUCAUAAAUAUAUAAAAAAAUAAUAGUAAUUUAAAUACCUAAAAUUUUAGGAUUGUCAAACCUAUAAUUUUAGAUAAAUAGUAAUAAUUGUUCCUCUUAUGUUUUGUUAGGUGAAGAGUAGAUUUUAAGGAUUAUUUUCUCCAAAGUUUUUGAGGACUUCUUUUGAGGUAAGGGAAGUUAAUACAAUAUUUAUAAAAUUAAAUUAUUUUAUAUGUUAUUUUGAAUUGUGGAAAAGAAAAUGAUAUUUUGUUACCAUGCAUGGAUCAAACUGUUUUGCACUAAAUAUUAUGUUGGAAUAUUUUGUUUUAUUUAUGACACAAAAUAUGGAGAUAUAAUGUUGUGUAAAUUUGCAUACUUGAACAAAAACAUCACUCUGGUUUAUUUGGCCCUUGUCAACGAGAUAUAAUAGUUGACUAUUCGGCCCUGUCAACGGGAUAUAAUAGUUGACCUUUACAUUUCAUGGUGGGAAUGUAAUUGAUUUGGACCCCAGCCUCUAGGGGUUUGGUUAGAGGUUACUAGUACUAAUAGUGUUUGGUUCUAUCCACCAGGAACAAUUUGAGGCUAGCCACCCAUUUGAAAAGUCCUACCUAACUGGCUAUUUGAUAUUUGAUAACCAGAGUAAUGAAAAUUGAAUGGAUUUGAUUGAAUCUUAUGUGAAAGUGUUUGAAUUUGAUAUGAAAAUAGUUGGUUGAAUUUUGAAUAUAUUGGUAUUUUUGAAACUCUGAUAUUUGAUGAAAAAAAAAAUGAUAUCUCCUAUUUGAAAUGAAAAUCCAUGAACUGCAUUAAUAUUCCUUAUUGGGCUGUGAGCUCAUUCCCAAUUGUUGAAAAUUUUUCAGGUACUCUUAGUUCGGGUGAGGAGUGAUGGCUAGGCUGAAGAAUGGUCAUCAUUAGAAUUUGACUUAGGAUUUUAUGUUGGAUUUUGUUUAACUGUUAAUUAUGUUCAUUUAGAUCAUUUGGUAUUUGGAAGUUAUUUGGAAAUUGAAUUUUGAGGAUUUUAGAUUUUGUUCCGCGACUCUGAACAGGUAUUUUGUAAUUGGUAACAUCCAGUUACAAUAUGAUUGUUUGGAUCAGAUUAUACUUUAAGCCUUCGGGUUUGAGGUGUGAAAUGACCGUCACGCCCUUGGAGUGGGUCUUGGGGCAUGAUAGAGUGGUAUCAGAGCACUAGGUUGUGAUCUUGAUGGGAACUUGUUUAGUGUACCUUUGGGGAUAGAUGAAUGACGCAUUUGUUUAAGUUUUAGUUUCAUUUAGUAUAAAUUCCAAUUCUUUCUUUAUUUGGAAAUUUUCUAAUUGGUUCUUUAGUGACUAAUUUAGUUAUGCCUUAUUAUUUUAGGACAUCAUGCCACCAAGAAGAGCAGUUUUUUCACAAAAUAGUCAGGCUAAUGAUUAUGUACCUCCAGUUGAGGGUUUGCCUCCCGUGAGUGUAGAAGGGAUUUAUAGGUAUCUUGGGACACUAGCUGGUUUAGUUGAACGCCAAGCUCGAGCUGUUGGGACUAAUGUUUAGGGACAGUCUUCAUCUUCUAGGGGUAGCUCUUUGAUGACUUCAAGAAAUUGGGUCCUCCUUACUUUUCUGGUGCUACAGAUCCCACAGAGGCAGAGGCUUGGAUCCUUAAGAUGGAGAAAUUCUUUGGUGUCAUAGAUUGCUCUGAGGAGCAAAAAACCUCUUAUGCAGCUUUUAUGUUAGAUAAAGAGGCAGAUCAUUGGUGGCGUAUGACUAGGAGACUUUUGGAGGAUCAGGGACCCAUAACAUGGAGACAAUUUAGGGAGGCUUUCUACAAGAAGUAUUUCCCUGACAGUGUUAGGCGGCAGAAUGUGGGAGAGUUUAUUCGUUUGGAACAUGGGGAUAUGACUGUGGCUCAGUAUGAUGCCAAAUUUACAGAGUUAUCACAUUUUUCCCCACAGUUGAUUGCUACAGAGAAGGAAAAGGCAUUAAAGUUUCAGGAUGGAUUGAAGCCUUAUUUGAAGAACAAGAUAUCUAUUCUGAAGCUUGGUGUCUAUUCAGAGGUUGUUGACAGAGCCCUUAUAGCAGAGAAAUAUAAUGAAGAGCUUCAUCAAUAUAGGGAACAGCAAAGGAAGCGAAAUAGGAGUGAUGGUGCUCAUGGUAAUCAAGCACAUCGAAGGUCUACAUUAGGAAGAAAUCAGGAUAAAGAGAAGGCAACGCAGAAUUUAGAUGGGGCUUGUCCUACUUGCGGUAAGAAGCAUGGGGGUAGGCCAUGCUAUAGAGAGACUGAAGCUUGUUUUGGUUGUGGGAAGCAAGGACAUUUGAUCAGAGAUUGUCCAGAGAAUAGGAAGUUCAUCACUGGGAAGCCUAAAGAGGAAAAUAAGGAGGAUAAACAGAAACCCAAAGCCCAAGGACGGGUGUUUUCUAUGACUCAUCAAGAUGCUCAGGCCACUUCUGAUGUGGUGACAGGUACUCUCCGAAUCCACACCUUAUUUGUUAGAGUCUUGAUUGAUCCUAGAUCAACACACUCUUUUGUUUCAGUAUCUUUUGCUGGUUUGUUGGGUUUGCCUGUUGCUAGCAUGGACUUUGAUUUGAUUGUUGCUACUCCUGUGGGAGAUUCUAUUGUGGCCAGUAGAAUGCUUAGAAAUUGUAUUGUGAUGAUUGGUUAUAGGGAAAUGCCAGUUGACUUAGUACUCCUUGACCUUUAGGAUUUUGAUGUGAUUUUGGGGGUGGAUUGGUUAGCUUCCUACCAUGCAUCUGUUGACUGUUUUGAGAAAAGGAUGACGUUUAGUAUUCCUAGUCAGCCUAAGUUUAGCUUCGAAGGGAAGCAUGUGGACAGACCACUGCAUAUGAUCUCAGUCUUACGAGCUAGUAGCUUGCUCAAGAAGGGUUGCCAAGCAUUUUUGGCUAGUGUGAUGAGUAAUGAAAGUGAUUUGAAGUUGGAAGACAUACCCAUAGUAAGGGAGUAUCCUGAUGUCUUUCCAGAGGAUUUGCCUGGCUUGCCACCAGAGAGAGAGGUGGAGUUCACCAUCGAUCUGGUACCAGGAACAGGUCCUAUGUCUAAGGCCCCAUACAGGAUGGCACCUGUGGAGCUUAAGGAGUUGAAAGUUCAGCUUCAGGAGUUAUUAGACAAGGGUUUUAUCAGGCCUAGUGUUUCACCUUAGGGAGCUCCUAUUCUAUUUGUGAAAAAGAAGGAUGGCUCAAUGAGACUUUGCAUUAACUAUAGGGAGUUGAAUAAGGUGACAGUGAGGAAUAAGUAUCCCCUUCCUCGGAUUGAUGAUUUGUUUGAUCAGCUACAAGGUGCUUGCGUGUUCUCUUUUUAUAUAGAUCUUCGAUCGGGUUAUCACUAGUUGAGGGUUAGAAGGGAAGAUGUACCCAAGACUGCUUUUCGAACUAGGUAUGGGCACUAUGAGUUUCUUGUUAUGCCUUUUGGUUUGACUAAUGCACUUGCUGCUUUUAUGGACUUGAUGAAUAGGGUAUUCAAACCCUAUUUAGAUCAGUUUGUGGUGGUUUUUAUAGAUGACAUCUUGGUAUACUCAAGAAGUAGAGAGGAGCAUGAGGGCCAUUUGAGUAUUGUAUUACAUACCCUCAGAGAUAAGCAGUUGUAUGCUAAAUUGAAGAAGUGUGAGUUUUGGUUAGACCGAAUUUCUUUCCUUAGGCAUGUGGUAAGCAAUGAUGGCAUCUCAGUUGACCCUAGCAAGGUAGAUGUUGUAGCUAAUUGGAGAAGACCUAGUACUGUGACUGAGAUUGGAAGUUGCUUGGGACUUGCUGGUUAGUAUAGGCGGUUUAUAGAAGGGUUCUCUAAAAUUGCCCUACCUUUAACUAAGUUGACACAGAAGGGAGUUAAGUUUGAGUGGUCUGAUGAUUGUGAAUGUAGCUUCCAAGAGUUUAAGAAUAGAUUAGUGUCAGCUCCUAUUUUGACUAUCCCUUCUGGUUCAGGAGGAUUNNNNNNNNNNNNNNNNNNNNNNNNNNNNNNNNNNNNNNNNNNNNNNNNNNNNNNNNNNNNNNNNNNNNNNNNNNNNNNNNNNNNNNNNNNNNNNNNNNNNAGCUUUUAGAGGAAGCUCAUUGUUCCAAGUUUGCAAUCCACCCAAGAGGGACAAAGAUGUACAAAGAUUUGAGGCAAAACUAUUGGUGGUCAGGUAUGAAGCGUGAUAUUGCACAAUUUGUGGCUCAAUGUUUAGUGUGUCAACAGGUGAAGGCUGAACAUCAGCGACCAGCAGGGUCUUUGCAGCCACUUGCUAUUCCUGAGUGGAAAUGGGAGCAUAUUACCAUGGAUUUUGUGAUCGGAUUGCCAAGAACCUUAGGGGGUAAUAAUGCUAUUUGGGUGAUUGUUGAUCGGUUGACAAAGUCUACUCACUUUUUGCCUAUGAAAGUCAACUUUUCUUUAGAUCGUUUAGCUUCUCUUUAUGUGAAGGAGAUUGUAAGAAUGCAUGGAAUACCAGUUUCUAUAGUGUCUGACAGAGAUCCUCGUUUCACUUCUAGAUUCUGGCAUAGUCUACAAAAAGCUUUGGGCACUACAUUGAGUUUUAGUAUUGCUUUCCAUCCUCAAACUGAUGGCCAAUCAGAAAGGGUAAUUCAGGUUUUAGAAGACUUGUUGAGAGCUUGUAUUUUGGACCUGCAAGGUAAUUGGGAUGAUCAUUUAUCUUUAGUAGAGUUUGCCUAUAACAAUAGUUUUCAAGCUAGCAUUAGGAUGGCACCUUUGGAGGCAUUGUAUGGUAGGAAAUGUCGAUCUCCUAUCUGUUGGAAUGACGUUGGAGAAAGGAAAAUUUUGGGGCCUGAACUUGUGCAAUUGAUUGUUGAAAAAGUUGCUUUGAUUAAAGAAAAAUUAAAAGCAGCUCAAAGUAGACAUAAGAGUUAUGCUGAUCAUCGUAGGCGAAAUUUGGAGUUUGAGGUGGGUGAUCAUGUGUUCUUGAAAGUUUCAUCUAUGAAGUCUGUGAUGAGAUUUGGGAGAAAAAAAAAACUUAGUCCUCGUUUUGUGGGUUCGUUUGAAAUAUUAGAAAUAGUAGGCACUUUGGCAUAUAAAGUAGCCUUGCCCCCAAACCUAUCUAAGGUUCAUAAUGUGUUUCAUGUUUCGACUCUAAGGAAGUAUAUUUAUGAUCCCUCUCAUGUUGUGGAGUUGGAGCCUAUUCAAAUUUUUGAGGACUUGACCUAUGAAGAGGUACCCAUUCAAAUUGUGGAUGUGAUGGAUAAGGUACUACUACAUGCUGUUGUCAAGUUGGUAAAAGUCCAGUGGAGCAAUCAUAGUAUCCGAGAGGCCACUUGGGAGUUAGAAGAAGAGAUGAGAGAAAAGCAUCCUCAAUUAUUUCAAGAUUCAGGUAUGUCAAGUUUAGAGGACUAAACUUUUGUUAAGGAGGUGAGGAUGUAACGCCCAAGUUUUCUUUUUAAAGGGUAAUUUAGGAAAUUCUUAAUAAUGAUAUUAAAUUAAUUAAUUAAUUAAUUUAAUAAAAUGGAAGAGGGGUGAAAAGGUAAUUUUACGAAUAAUACCUUAGGUAUAAAUAGAAAAUUCUCUUUUUCCUGUUCUUUUUUGAAUCGUAUUCCUAUUCACAAAGAGUUUCCAGAGAACAUGAAGUUGAGGUCAGAUUUCAAGGUUUGAAGAACAAACCUCUAUAAGUAAGUUUCUAACCCCUAGAUUAUUAUUUUAGAUUCAUUAGUUAAUUUCAAGCACAUUAGAUAUAUUUUUUUUGGAAAACCCCAAAUCUAGAUUAGGGUUAGAUUAUUUUUUUAAUUCGUUUUAAUAUCAAAUAGUGAAAAUUUAAGAUUUUGAUUUAUUAUUGGAAUUGGGAAGAUCUUAAGUUUUUUUUAUUAGAAAAAAAAAAAUUCCUGUGAAGAUUUCGAUUUAGAUUAGGGUUAGUUUAUUAUUAUUAUUUCGUUUUAAUAUCAAAAUAGUGAAAAUUUAAGAUUUUGAUUUAUUGUUGGAAAUUGGAAAUUCUUGAGCUUUUAGAAAAAAAAAAAUCUGGAAGACGUGUGUGCAUACUGUAGAAUUAGAGAAAAAAAAAAUGGAGGACGCGUGUGCUCAUUGGAAUUGGAGAAUGAAAAAAAAUAUAUAUAAAAUAUAUAUAUAUAUAUAUAUAUGGGGUGUGGGUGUGUGUACGGAUGGAGGAAGAGUGUUGUUAGUUAAUAUAUAUAUAUAUGUAUAUAUGUCUAUUGUUUGUUGACAAUAAUGGAGUAUUGUUGGGAAUAAAGUUUAUGUUUAAAAAAAAAAAUGAGAGAAUAGAAGUUUUAAAUAAAAAGGAAGUAAAGUUUUUUUAUAUUAUAAUUAUGAGCAUAAGUUAAUAAAUAACAUAGAAAUUAAUUAUUGAAAUAAAUUAUAGUUUAAUUAAGUUGUGUCUCAAGAAAUAAAUUUUAAAAUAAAUAAAUAAAUUCAAUUUUAAAUGAAUUAGAAAUUUCUUAAUUUUUAAAAUAUGAAUAGAUUAAAUUACCUUUCAUAAAUAUAUAAAAAAAUAAUAGUAAUUUAAAUACCUAAAAUUUUAGGAUUGUCAAACCUAUAAUUUUAGAUAAAUAGUAAUAAUUGUUCCUCUUAUGUUUUGUUAGGUGAAGAGUAGAUUUUAAGGAUUAUUUUCUCCAAAGUUUUUGAGGACUUCUUUUGAAGUAAGGGAAGUUAAUGCAAUAUUUAUAAAAUUAAAUUAUUUUAUAUGUUAUUUUGAAUUGUGGAAAAGAAAAUGAUAUUUUGUUACCAUGCAUGGAUCAAACUGUUUUGCACUAAAUAUUAUGUUGGAAUAUUUUGUUUUAUUUAUGAUACAAAAUAUGGAGAUAUUAUGUUGUGUAAAUUUGCAUACUUGAACAAAAACAUCACUCUGGUUUAUUUGGCCCUUGUCAACGGGAUAUAAUAGUUGACUAUUCGGCCCUGUCAACGGGAUAUAAUAGUUGACCUUUACAUUUCAUGGUGGGAAUGUAAUUGAUUUGGACCCCAGCCUCUAGGGGUUUGGUUAGAGGUUACUAGUACUAGUAGAGUUUGGUUCCAUCCACCAGGAACAAUUUGAGGCUAGCCACCCAUUUGAAAAGUCCCACCUAAUUGGGUAUUUGAUAUUUGAUAACCAAAGUAAUGAAAAUUGAAUGGAUUUGAUUGAAUCUUAUGUGAAAGUGUUUGAAUUUGAUAUGAAAAUAGUUGGUUAAAUUUUGAAUAUAUUGGUAUUUUUGAAACUCUAAUAUUUGAUUAAAAAAAAAAUGAUAUCUCCUAUUUGAAAUGAAAAUAUUUGAUCCAUGAACUGCAUUAAUAUUCCUUAUUGGGCUGUGAGCUCAUUCCCAAUUGUUGAAAAUUUUUCAGGUACUCUUAGUUCGGGUGAGGAGUGAUGGCUAGGCUGAGGAAUGGUCAUCAUUAAGAUUUGACUUAGGAUUUUAUACUGGAUUUUGUUUAACUGUUAAUUAUGUUCAUUUGGAUCAUUUGGUAUUUGGAAGUUAUUUGGAAAUUGAAUUUUGAGGAUUUUAGAUUUUGUUCCGCUACUCUGAACAGGUAUUUGGUAAUUGGUAACAUCCAGUUACAAUAUGAUUGUUUGGGUCAGAUUAUACUUUAAGCCUUCGGGUUUGAGGUGUGAAAUGACCGUCACGCCCUUGGAGUGGGUCUUGGGGCAUGACACUUUGAGUCAUUAUUCCUUUUCUAGGUCAUUUGCAAAAACUUGUAUUCGUUACUAGCAUAGCCUCUUCAUCUUAUCUGUGAGUGUUUAGCUGUUGGCAAUUUCAGACAAAAUUCCUAAAUGUCCCUUAACAUGAUUUUCCAAUUCCUCUUUGGACUACUUAACAUUUGAAGAUUAAGACUUUGUUAAGAAGUCAAGGCAUGUAGUUGAGUGUGUAGUGAUUGAAUGUGAAUCAACUUUGUUUUUCUUCUUUAAAAGAGUUAAGAAAGCCGAGAGAAAUUAUUUUGCUAAAAGACUUUUGUUCCCCUGUUUUUGGAUCGAUCUAGGUGUAGGGGUAGAUUGAUUCAACUAACCUAUUUUAAAAUUAAUUUUUAGCUCUUGGAUGAAGGGCUUCAUUCCCAUUUAAAAUCAAAUUUCUCCAAUUUCUGGAAGUAGAGUGCAACAACCCUUUUUUGUGCUCCUCAUUCCCUUUUCUCUUUAAGGUUGCUUGCUCCAAAAAAAAUCUCAUCCAAGUUUUCUAAGAAAUUUUGUUUUAAUGGAUUUUAUGAAAAUGAACAUGAGUUGAUUUAUGAAACAUUCAUAUUUCAUUCUCUUGGUUUUGUGUAAAAACUCAUUUUAUUCUUAUAUGGAUUCAAGAGGAGGUCGAGAUCGAGUUUGAUAUGGACUCUAAGUGUGCUAUGAAAGAAGAAGAUGAGAAGCUGAAAGUGAAAUAUACCAGUCAAAUGGUCCGGGAAGGAUUAAUUGGCUUGAGUUAGGUAAAACCUUGUAUUUAGUUUUUCUUCUCUUCAUAGUGGAUGUUUUCGAUCGGUUGUAGGCCCAUGGUUUUUUUAUCUCUUUGAAGGUUUUCCAUGUUAAAAUCUGGUGUCUCAUCCCCUCUCUCUCUCUCUUCUUAGCAUCAUUAAAUUUUGGCCUUAGGUACAGCUCCUUUGUUUUUUGUCAUAUUCAAAAAUGGAAUAACGAAAGAGGGAAUAGACAAAUUGUAAAACAUAAUUUCAAUAGUGGUUUGAUGGGAAUGGAGUUUUUCUUUCCCAUAUUUUGCCUCAUAAAAAUUCUGUCCGACAAUGCCUUUUUACCUUAAUUUUCCAUCAAGUUAAUUGAGGAGAUUUUCUUUUUCAACCUUCUAAAAAAAUUUCACAACAUAAUUUUUUUAUAAAAAUAUUUUAGUAUUAAAAAUGAUGAUUUCUUUUCUUCAAUAGUAAGUGAUUGUGAUACUUAGGUUAAUAAUAUGUAACUUUUUGAGGAAAUCAUAUUCCUACUCACAUUGUAUUCUUUUUGGUUCACUUACCAAUUUUUUUCAAUGCAUGUAAAGGAACCAUCUGUUAAACCUUGUCUUAAUCCAUCCCAUCUUUUUCUUAAUUCCCCUUUCCUUUCACCUUAGGAUGGAGAGCUUUAUUUUAGAACUUAAUAAAAUUUAGAGGAAAAUACAAAAAUGCUUCUUGUACUAUCAUCUUUUACAUUGGAUUGUUACUUAAAAAAUAGAGAUGUCUUGUUAAAAGGCUUAAAAUACUUUGAAAUUGCAAUAAUAACCCUCUUAUUCAUAUUUUUUGAAUAACUUAUUUUAGAUUUUUAUAACUUUUUUUUCCUUAAAAUGUCUUUCAUCUCUCACUUCUAAUUUAUUUCCCUCCUAUUUCUCAUACCUAACUCUUUCUUUUUUUAGGUUUACGCCCUCUUUUUUUUUUUUUAAAUGAAAUUCAAACCUAUAACAAGUAUCAAGAGAGAAAUAAUUUUUUCCCAUCUUUAUUUAGUCUUUAACAUCAUUCAUAUGAUUCCUACUUUUGUAGACAUAAAAAAAAAAUUAAUGAGUUAAAUUACCACUAAAUUGGUAUUUCAAAUUGUAAAUUCUUUGUGCAACAAAAUUUUGGUUGGACGAGUAAUGGAUUAUACAAAAAGGACACAUGACAAAAUUGGGAAGACUAUAAAAUUAAGUCUUGCAAAAUAGAAACAAAUAUUAUAAUUAAAGUCAAAAGAGAAUUAAAGAUAAAUAUUCUUUUAUUGACAAAUUUCGCAAAACAAAUCCUCCAAUUGAAGUUACAAGAUAAUUAUAAAUAAAUAAAUAUUCUUUUGUUGACAAAUUUUCUUAACGAAAGAAAUAAGUUGUUAAAAUUCAUAUUCUUUAAAUUAAGUAAAUCAAAUAGGGAUUUCAGAUUUUAUUUUCUAAUUUCACUUAUCACUAGAGGGGAUUAACAAAAUAACUUCACACUUGAACAAAGGUUUCACAAUGAGAAAAAUGUUUCAUGCAAUUUUCCUACAAGUACAAAAAAUUGCAAAAGUUGCUUUAGGCCCUCGAUUAAUCUUAAAUAAAAUAAAACAUUUUCAUCAUUAUCUUUUAGAUCAUAAUUAAGACAAAAAAAAUCAAGUAAACAUUUUCGUAGUCAUUAUUCAAAUUAUAAUUGAGUGAAUGAAUUAGAAGAAAAAUAUUGUUUUAUAAAUAAUAUUAUCAUUGAAUUUGUAUCCCAUAAUUACUUUAAUACAAAUUUUUAUUCACAUUGUGUUUCCUAUACUAUUGCUAAUUUUGCAGGACUUCACGGAUUUUAUUAUUAUUAUUUUUAUUUGUAGUUGUUUUCAAUUUGGGUUUUUAGCUUUGUUUUUAUUAGCGUUUAAUUUGGUUUUGUUAUUUACUCCAUAAUAUUUACUUAGGUUUUUCUAAAACCCAAAAACUUAACAUGGAAGAGAUAAAUAUCUUGUAGAGAAUCGGAAAAUAAAAAAGGUAAUUAACCUUAGUUAAAAAAGGAAAGUGAAUGGAGGAGAUAAAUAAUAAUAAUAAGAAAAAAAAAAAAGGUUAGGUGAUGUUUGUGGAAGCCAACAAAAUGAAAAUGGAUAAAAGAUUCAAAUAACUUACGUUUGUCAACAAAAAAAAAUAAAAGAGGGAUCUAAUUCACUAAUUUUUGAUAUUUUUUUUUAAAAAAAUAAAAGUGUUCAAAAAAUUGUUUUUAAAAUUAUUUUUCAAACAAUAACAAAAUAAAAAACUUCUUUCGAUAAAUAAAUUUUAGGUAUUUUUAAAAAAUAAGUUUUUUUAUUUUGAUUUUAUAAAGAAAUAUAUAUUCAUUUCACAUAACAUUGAUUAAAUUAAAUUUAAUUCAAGUUUUAUUAAAAAUAUAGAAUUAUAAAAUAAAUAUUUUUAGUAAAAUAUGAAUGCUAAAAUCACACUAUUUUGGUAUAUAUUAUAAAAUAAGGAUAUAAUUCAUUUUCUUAUUAAAAAUGAUUAGUAAUGGUUAAUAAUAUAUUAUUUAAAAACAAAAAAAAAACUUAUGUAAAUGCAAAGGUUUUCAUAUAGUUUUAGUAUUUAAUUAUAGUUAGUAUUUUGAGCUAGUUUUAAUUCAUUUUGUAAUUAAUUGGGUUAGUUUUUUUUUUUAAUUAUAAACUGUGUUAAUUCAAUUUGUAAUUAAUUAAUUAGUAUUUUUUUACCUAAUUAUCAUAUAAGUUCUAUAAUCAGGUCGGGGACCAAUGACACUAUCACCAAUUAUGAUUAUCUAAUCAUUCAAGUACAACUGAUGUAGUUGACAAAGUAUGAUCAUGCUAAGCCAAAUGAUGCCCCACUCUCAAACUCUUAACUAAAAGUCUAAGGUUGUGUUUGUUUUUUGACUGAAUAGAAAAAGUCAAAUAUUUUAGCUUUUUCUAUUCAGCCAAAAAAUAAACACAAAAUAAACACAACCUAAGUAUAUGAUGGUGAAGCUGCUUAAUAAAAAAGUUAAUAGAAAUCCUAACCACAUAAAAUAAAUAAGCACAAAAAUAGCCCUACAGGCUACAGCCCAUUUUCCGCCUUUAGGCCACCUUCACGCCCACAACGCCGUCAUCCGGCAUGCAGCGGUCACCACGCGCUAUCCCGCAUACCCAUCUCUCUGUCUUUUCUUUCUGUUCUUCCUUCCUGGCUUAACUGAUGAAAUAAUGGGUAAAAACGGAUGAAAUACUUAUUCAUUCUCAAUUUUCUUUUAAAAUAAUUCUUUUUUUCAUAUAAAUACUUUUUACUAUUUCAAGUAUUUAUAAUAUAUUUUUAAAAAAAUUAUUAUUUUUAUAAAAAAAUAAUAAAGAUGUUGUUAUUAAAAUAAGGUCAAAAAUGGAUAAAUAGUUGAAUUUUUAAAAUUGAAUUUCUAAUAAUACUUUUAAUUAAAUAGCCCUCAAUUGAAAAAAAAUGGUAAUUUUUAAUUUUUUAAGUUAUUAAAAAUGUAAGGUUAGAUUUGUAAUUUCAAGAGGAUAUGGAUUCUUUUUAAUCAUUAAAAAAUGGACAAAAAAAAUAGAAAUAAAGAAAAAUAAAUCUCUCACUUUAUAUACAUAAUCAAAGCAAUCAAUUGUAAAUGGAUAAAUAGUUCUUUCUUUCACUCUUUCACCUUCUCCUACCUAUUUAUUAGUGGAUCAAGUUAAAUGAUUUCUCAAUCAUUUUUCUCUAACAAAUUGAACAUGAAAAAUAAAUGGUUAAAAAUUAUUAUUGACAAAUACAUUUUUUUUAUAUAAAUAACUUUUAAAUACCUCAUUAAAUAUUAUUCUUUUUUUUAUUAACUUACAUAAUAUAUAAUAAAUAUUUUUUAAAUACCUUGAAAACUUACAUAAUAUAUAAUAAAUAUUAUUAUUUAUUUCAAACUUACAUUAUUUCUCAUAUAUAUUAAACACCUCAUAAAAUAUUAGGAUUAUUUAUUUGUUCUAACUUGCAAAUUAGACAUCACCAAAUAUUUUUUUUCAAACUUAUAGAAUAUAUAAUAAAUAUUUUUUAAAUCCCUUAGAAUUUUUUUUUCUUACUUACAAAAUAAUAAAUAUGCGGUACAUCAUUUGUCCUAUAUAUUAAACCAUUUUAAAUACCUCAUAAAAUAUUAUUAUUAUUAUUAUUAUUAACUUAAAAAUUAGACACAUAAUGUUUAUUAUUUAUCAUAUUAUUUGGAAAAUAAUGUAAACACUCACGUGCACUUCAAGAUAUUCAAAAUUUCUCCAUUUCAAAAUUACCUUAAUUUUUCCUCACAUUAAUCUUAAAUAUUUUAAAAUAAAGACUUAAUUAUUUAAAACCAUUAAAAUAAAUAUUUUAUGAUUAAAGCAAAAUGUUAAAAGUAAUAAGAAAAAAAUCAUGAAAUCUUCAAAACUAUAAUUACAACAAAUAUUUUUAAUUUUAAAACUAAUUUCAUAAUUUAAAUUAAUGAUUUUAAAAAAUAAAAAUGUUACAAAAAUAAUUUUUGUUUAUUUUUAAUUCCAUUUAAAUAUGAUUUUCUUAAUCUUUACUGAAAGCAGUGAAAUUAUGUUUAUAAGGGAAAAAUGGUAAAUAUAUAUAUAUAUAUAUAUAUAUAUAUAUAUAUAUAUAUAUAUAUAUAUAUAUAUAUAUUUGUUUAGUUUACUUGUAAUGAAAAAUUCAAAUAUGAUUAAUUUUAAAUUUAUUUUCUAUGUAUUAAUUUUGGUAGGGAAAACUUUAAUGACAUAGUUCGAUAAAUAAAUAAUAAUAAUAAUUAAAAAAAAACUAUCAAUUAUCGUCCUAAUGUCAAGUUCCAAGUUGUUUAAUAGUUGUAUAAAAGCUAUUAGGAACUUUGUACAUCCUUUACACUUGACACAUUUCCUUUGUACGAUUUGUGUUAUUUCCUUGUACAGUGGUACAAAUUUCAUAUCCCUCUUACGUCAUAUGUCCAUGUAAGUGUAUUAAUCAUGUCUUUAAUGGUUUGGUUAAGAAAAUAAUAGAUGACUUAGAAUUAAAUUUUUUUUCCCUAAACAUCAUUAUUCAAGAAAACAUUGAAAUUUUCAUGUGGAAGUUAUAUAAAAGUGCAUGACAUGGGUGUACAAUUCUUGGGGUGACAAGGAAAAUAAAGGAAUGGUUCAUAAUUGAUUGAAAUCUUUCACAAAUGAUAGUCUUAUACUCUCUUCUACACUUAAUGUAUUUUUCUUAUACAAUUAGUGUAUUUCUUAUAUAAUGAUACAAAUUCCAUAUCUCUCUUAAGUUAUGUGUCCACGUAGGUGUAUUAAUUAUGUUUCUAAUGAUUUAGUUGAGAAAAUGUUAGAUGACUUAAGAUCAAAUUUUUUCCCCUAAACAUCAUUAUUGAGAAAAGUAUUGGAAUUUUCAUGUGAGAGUUAAAUAAAGUGUAUGACAUGAAUGUACAAUCCGUGGAUGAUAAGGAAAAUAAAAAAGAAUGAUUCGGAAUCAAUUGAAAUAUUUCACAAAUUAUAGUCUUGUACACCCUUGUACACUUAGUACAUUUCCCUUGUACAGUGACACAAAUUUCAUAUAUCUCCUAAGUUAUGUGUCCAUGUAUGUGUGUUAACCAUGUUUCAAAUGGCUUAAUUAAGAAAAUAGUGGAUGACUUAGGGUCAAAUUUUUUUUCCUCAAAUAUCAUUACUAGGGAAAGUAUUGGGAUUUCUAUGUGAGAGUUAAAUAAAGUGUAUGAUAUAGGUGUACAAUAUGUGAGUGACAAGAAAAAUUAAGGAGUGGUUUAGAAUUAAUUAAAUUUUUUCACAAAAAGUAGUCUUGUACACCCCUUGUAUAGUGAUGCAAAUUCCAUAUCCCUACAAUGAAUGUGUACUUAUAAGUAUAUUAAACACGAUUCCAAUAAUUUGGUUGAGAAAAUGACAGAAAACUUAAAUUUGACUUUUUUUUUUUAUGAAUAUAUUAUAUUUUUUUAUGAAAAAAUACACCAUUGGUUAAUUCCUUUAUUUAAUUGUCAACAUAUUAUAUAUAUAUAUAUAUAUAUAUUAAAAUAACUAAUAGAAAAAAUAAUAAUAAUCAGUAAAUGAAUUUUUUUUUUUUAUUAUUUUCCUAUAAAGAAAAUAGUAUUAAAAGGUUUUCAAUUUUCAUUUUUAAAAAUAGUUUUCAUUUUUUAAUUACACGUAUUUUCAAACAGAAACAACAUAGAAAAUAAAAAUUAUUUUUAAAAAAUAAAAAAAAUUAGAAAAAUAUUUUUAAACUAAACUCAAACAUAAUCAUAUAAUUUUAACUACUUUUUUUCAUAGUAAAUAUACCAUUCAACCUUUUUAUAUAAGAAAAUUUCAAUCUCUACUAUACCAUAUAUUGAUAUAAUUCACUUCUAAAAUUAGGUCAUUCGAAAGCAUUUUAAUUGAAUAUUUAAAAUAAAAAUUCUUUAUCCAUCCUCUUUCUCUCUUUUUCUUUUUUGAUAAAUUUUCUAAUAAGUAAAAAAAAUCUUUAGUAAACAAAUUCAACAUUUCAUAUAAGUUAUUAUCAAAAGAGAUGUUCAAAAAGUUAUUAAAAUAAGAAAGAAGAAGAUUAAAAGAAAAUUUAAAUUUUUUAUUUUAUACUAGUAAAAAUAAUAAUAAUAAGUUUUAAAAUACUUUUUAAUAUAAAAGGAAAGAAAAUAGUGAAUAUAUUUAUUUUAAAUAGUGUUUUAAUUAUUAAAUUAUUUACUUCUAAAUGCAAAGAAUAAUUUUUAUUUAUUUAAAUUGACAUUUGUUUGUAAAAUUAUUUUUCAAAAUAGUUUUUGAAUCAUUAAUAUAAUUUAUGUUGAUUUAUAAUUUAAAAAUAGAAAAUAAUAUUGAUUUUUAAUUAUUUAUAAAAGAGUUUAGAAAGAUAAUUAAAAAUCUAGAAAUGAUUAAAUAAGGAUGAAUUUAUUGGUGUUGGUACGUGAAGAGGGGGUGGAAUAGAGAAAAAAAAUAAGUCAAAGGAUAGUUUUGUCUAUCACUAUGUUAUAUCUUUGUAGUCAAUGAUAGGAAUACCUACAUCAAUCAUCAAGCCCAAGUGGGCUAAAAUCACAAUUCUCCUAAUUUUUUAUUGACAAACGUCGACAUGUCUAUCAGCCUUGCCUCCAAUUUCUUUACGUUAUCUUCGCACAUUCGGACAAGGUCCAAGAAGGAGAAGGCUCAACCUACAACUGCAGUUACGCUAAUGAUGGCCGCCAACGGCGAUAUUCACUACGAUCGAGCCAAAGAAGUCAAGCAGUUCGACGAAUCCAAAAUCGGCGUCAAAGGUCUCGUCGACUCCGGCAUCACCACUAUCCCCCGAAUCUUCAUCCACCCAACCGAAACUAUUUCCGACCUCAAAUCCUCUAACCCAUCCGGUUCCCAUUCAAUCCCCGUCAUUUCCCUCUCCGGCGACCGCUCCUCCGUCGUCGACCAAAUCAGGCGCGCCUCCGCCGAAUUCGGCUUCUUCCAGAUCAUCAACCACGGCAUCUCCACCGACGUCCUCGACCGCACGGUCGCCGCCAUCAGGGCCUUCAACGAGCAGCCAACGGAGGUUAAGGCGCAGUACUACCGGCGGGAUAUUGGAACGGGAGUGGCGUUCUCGACUAACUUCGACUUGUAUCACUCCAAGGCGGCGAGCUGGAGAGACACGCUUCAGGUGAGGCUGGGGCCGACACCUACGGAGUUCGAUAAGAUGCCUGAGGUGUGCCGCAGGGAAGUGAUGGAGUGGGACCGUGAGAUGGUGAGGCUGGGAGAGGCGUUGAUGGGAUUGAUGUGCGAAGGGCUGGGGUUGGAUGCGGGAAGAUUGAAGGAGCUGACGUGUUUGGAAGGAAGAAUUAUGGCGAGUCACUACUAUCCGUACUGUCCUCAGCCUGAAUUGACGAUGGGGCUCACCCCCCACACAGAUCCGGGAGUGUUAACGGUGGUACUGCAGAAUCAGGUAGGUGGGUUGCAGGUUAAGCACGAUGGGGCAUGGCUGGAUUUGAACCCUGUGCCCGGUGCUCUCGUCAUCAACGUGGGCGAUAUGCUUCAGGUAGCUCCAAUUUAGGGAAAAGAAUCCUUUGUUUGAAAGGAACAACCCAUGAAUAUCUGAAAUUAAAAUUGUGGUGAUUUUUUUUUUUUUUUCAGGUAAUGAGCAAUGAUGAAUACAAAAGCGUGGAGCAUAGGGUGGCGGGGAACCCAUGUCGGGAAGCAAGAGUUUCAAUUGCAGUUUUCUUCAAUCCGGGCGAUAGGCAUUCCUUGUUUGGGCCAUUGCCGGAGCUCAUAUCAGCAGAGAAACCAGCUGUGUACAAGAGCUUCACAUUCGAUGAGUUUAUGACAAGGUUCUUUACUAAGGAGUUGGAUGGUAAGUCUUUGAUAAAUUUCUUUAAACUCUCACAAUGAGGACUGAGCAUUCCAUACAAGCGCAUACUCGUUUCAGAAUGCUAGAGCCGUGCCUUUCUUCUAACAGGUCGACUUGUAUGUACUUUGAACCUUUACAACUUCCCUUUUAGGGAAAGUAGCAUGUAAAAACAUUUUUCAUAAUAGUGUUGGUGAUGAAAGUAUUAUAGAUUAUAUCAUAAUCACUUUCAAAUUGGAUAAGGAGAAUAUUCUUAACCAUUUGAAUUAAUGCUUUCUAAGUAUUGAGAAUCCAUUAUAAUAGUCAGAAAUCAAGAUUCCAAAAUUUAUAGAAAGUAUUAGAAAAUAUUAUAAUAAUCUUUCUAAUAUUUUCAUUCCUUUUUUUUUUUGGUCCAAAAAAAUUCCGUUCCGCUUCAUCUCUGGUUGAAGAGGGAUUGCUGUUAAUGCCGUUUUCGUCAUCAGCGAAGCAGAAAUCCUCUCAUUUCCGGCAUUUCUUCCUCCCUAUUUCAAGGGGAGGUGCUGUGUUUUGAAAAGAUUUUUUUUAUUUUUUUAUUUUAAAUAUCACUAGAUACAAGUUUAAUAAAGUGAACAAACAAUGAAAUUGAAAUGCCACUAUAAAUCUCAUUUGCCCUACCUUGCAUCCCAAUCAAUCAGUCGGAACACUAAAUAACCUUUUGGAUAUGCGAUUGAUGUAAACCUCUUGGUAGACACCGUAUUAAAUUUAGGCACAACCAUGCCAUGAUCCAGUUUCAGUCAGGUUUACUCCUCCAUUUGCAUCCUCUUUCCAUGCCCAAACCAUUCAGCCAUCUCCUCAUCACUGCUACAUUCAACAAACUCUGGUCUUCUCUGGAGGCUGGCAGAUCUAGAUUCGCCUCCCCUUGAAUGGGGUCUGCUCUUCUCCAACAUCUCUGCUUUCCAUUUUGAUCUUUUACUUGAAUUCUGAGACAAUUCGCUUUUACCCCCUGCAAUGGGAAAAUCUACAAAUCCAGAAAUUCCAUCCCAUGAUUUUGAACCAUCAAUGUCCUUACUCUCAUCCUCCACAAAUCUCCACCUAGCUGUACCAUUGUUAGGACUUUGCGUCUCUUGUCUGAUAGGAAGCUCACCACUGGUUUCAUCUUCAUCUUUAACAAACCUAGACCCCUUAUGAUAGGAGGAAAAUCCUUGAAUUUCAUGACCAGGUUGAGCAGAAGCCUUUGGCCGUUUAUGAUCACAUUUCAAGCAUACCAUGUUUCUUCCAAAAUUGAUGAAGUUACACCUAUAACAAUAACAAUACAGAUGUUAAAGAGUCCUUACAUUUUGUUUAUGUUUUCAAAACAGAAACCCAGCCUAGCCAUCACCCUUUCCAGGAGUAGAAACCUUGAUCUCUCCUCAUGGGGGAGGCAAGAGAUACUUAGGAUUAAAAACCAUUAAACAAUUGAAUGCAUAAGAAAAACUCACGAAUCACAUUCCCAAUCCCCUGGAUUGAGUUCCCGCUUUGGAGGCUUCUCCUUACAUUGCAAACAUAUCGUAUUCCUAGCAAAAUUUAGGAAAUUGCAUCUGCAAGAAUUAAAGGUCUUAAUGAGAAACAGAAUGAGGGAUAUUGCAAAGUUUAAUGUUCUUAACAAUCAUUACUUGUUACAUAUCCAGUCUCCCUUCUUCAAUGGAAGAUGAUCUUGAUCCUCCCAUAGUUUCCUUAGUCUUUCUUGGGAUAUAUCAUUGCAUCGCAAGCACUUAAUAUUUCUAGCAAAAUUUAGGAAGUUGCAUCUACAAAAUAAAAAGUAAAAGGAAAAUGUAAAUCACUAUUAGACAAUAAUAAGAAAAGCAAGAUUCAAUAUUCAAAAAAGAAAAAACCAGAAAGUUACUGAGAUAAGCUAAAGACUUACUUUGGGCAAAGCCAAUCACCUUGCUUAAUUGGAAGAUUAGUUCGGCCUUUUUCGGCUGAUGCCAGACUCUCUUGCAGUGAUGCUACCUUUUUGGAUGAGGUAGCAUUUGGGAGAAGGGAAUCAAAUUCCUUGGAGCCAAACUCCACCAUUGCUUUUAGUAGCCUUCUUGCAGAUUCUUCAAUUGUUUUGCUUCGACAGAGCAUGUUCUCCACUGUACCAGUAAUGGGGUCAAGCCCAUAUGUCAAUAGGAUGCGCAUGAGAUCCACAGUCCGCCCCCCUUCACCCUCACUUGCCAUCACAUAUGCUCUUUCACAGUUUCCCCUCAAAAUGCAGGAGCUGCAAACCUAAAAGACACUUAUUGAUGUUAGAAGUGAUAAAUGGCAAGUAAUUUGUCAGGGCAUCUCUUUCCAGAAGAAAAUGAUUGGAUAUUAUUUUCAUAUCUUAAAAACUCAGCACAUACAUUUCCUUCAUCAAUAUCUACAUGUGCCCUUAGACGUUUGCCUGAGUUGACAACUUUCCUAUCUGUGCUUGGGCAUCCAGAUCCUGCAACGACCUCGAUAUCUUUCCUCGAGAAGUAACUGAUGGAAAAGGCUUUCACUGAACGGUAAGUUCUCAAAUUUAGGAAAUAUCCCAUCUGCUGAAAAUCAUUAAAGAAAGAUUUUCCUUUACCAUGGUAAAAGUUAAUAUUUAUUAUUUAAUAAUUUAAGUUGACUUUACAUGAUAUUGUUUACUUAAAAUUUACCCUUACUAAUUUCAACUAAUAUUUAUCCUGAUUAUUUUAACUAAUAUUUAUUUUCAUUAAUUUUAAGCAAUGAAUUUAUUCAUUAAACACCCAGAGUUAAAUAUUGUAGAUUCAAAAGAUAAAUGAGUCAUAGACGUGGAAUCAUGGUUGUAAAAUGUGCUCUCGCCAGUGAAUUAUGGUUGACUUGGAAUCAUUUUUGAACUUUAAGUUAUAAUAUUAAGUUAUGUUAUCAAACAUACUUAAUCUAUUUACGGGCUUAAAUUAAGUUAUUGAGUUGAUUUACUAAAGACCCAUUGUGAAAGAGUUAGCUGCUAGAUAUUUUUCUAGUAUUGAGAAGAUGAAGUGAGCAACUUUUCUUCAGUAUCAUGGGUUUUACCGAGUAUAAAACUUCAAGUUAUGUAGCAUAUAAUAAAGUUAGCAAUGGUUUGAAACCAGAAGGAUCCAAGUUAUGAUAGGUAAAAUUCAAACAAUAUUUAAUGCUGGAUGGAAAAUUUCUUCAGCGUAAGGCACUUUUAUAAUUGGGAUAAUUGACAUUCCAGACCAGGUAGCUUCAAGCCAUGGAGUCAUAGACAAGAGUCAAGUUAAACCAGAGGAGAAACCCAUAUCUUCUAUUUGGACACAAAAUCAAACACAUAGCAUGCACAAGUCAGAAAUCUGGAAAAUUUCUUCAGCAUACGGCACUUAUAUAAUUGGGAUAAUUGACAUCCCAGACCAGGUGGCUUCAAGCCAUGGAGUCAUAGACAAAAGUCAAGUUAAACCAAAGGAGAAACCCAUAUCUUCUAAUUGAACACAAAAUCAAACACAUAGCAUGCACAAGUCAGAAAUCUGGAAAUUUUCUUCAGCGUAAGGCACUUUUAUAAUUGGGAUAAUUGACAUUCCAGACCAGGUAGCUUCAAGCCAUGGAGUCAUAGACAAGAGUCAAGUUAAACCAGAGGAGAAACCCAUAUCUUCUAGUUGGACACAAAAUCAAACACAUAGCAUGCACUAGUCAGAAAUCAGAGUUCACACGGAAAACUGAAUAAAUAACCAUCUUACGCAUUCCAACCUACAAAUGAGAACGAUUCAAGUCUCAGAGAGUAAAUGCAAGUCGAAAAUACCAGCAUCCAUUAAUUAAUCCGUCAAUACCUUAUAAGAUCGAACCUAUCUCGGGUAAAAUCAAGGCAUGCAGUGCGAAUUCGGUUGGCUUCCUUGACACCCAUUGCGCCAUUUUGGAAAGGGUUUCCGUCUCCUUCUUCAAGGUACCCUUUCUUUGUCAAAAUUUCCAUCAAAUCCACCCAUUCCGGCCACGGAUGCAAAUGACGGACAGUCGACUUCGUAGGGCUAAUCCAAUCUGAUGGGGCUCCAUGUACUGUCGAUGGUGGAGACUCGUCUAGCUCAUCCAAAAACUCCAGCUUUGAGUCGGGCAAUGGUGUUUCGCUUGGAGAGUGAAAGUGUGAAAUGGGGGAGAAAAAUCUGGGGGCGCUGAAGUGGGUAACAAAGGUCGAAGUGAAAUAUUCACGACCUGUACGGAAGAGUCUGUUCAUCUCGCACGGCGGGUAAAUUUUUUGGGAGGAUGUUUCAGUUUCAGGUGGCAGCUUGUUACUGCUUGUAUUACAAUUCUAGACUUUCUAGUCAUUUGAAUCCGACCGAGAUAAUCAAUCAGGAGCACAGGAAAGCGAGAAAGAUUUACGCUUUUUAUUAUUAAAUAAUUUAAUUCGAAUCAAGAUUUUUACUUCCUCUGACAAAAUUAAAAUUCUAAAUAAAAACUUAUUUUAAUUGAUUUAUGGGAAUUAUGUUAAAUUAGAAUAUAAAUUUUAAUUAAUUAAUUUUAAAAUUGAAUUUGUUUUGUAAUAAAAUUAUUUAUUUUUAUUUUCUAAUAUUAUAAAAUUAAAAUUCAAAAUAGUUUCUACUUCAUUUAUUUAUAAAAAUUAAUUUAGUAUUAUAAAAUCAUCUUUCAAAGAUUUUCAAAUAAAUUUUUAUUUUACAUGACAUCAAAAAUAAUUUUUAAAAAAUCGGUGCCGUAGCGAAAGCAGUGAUACCAAAAAUCCCUCUCGUAGUGAUAGAACCCAACACACAUUCAUGUCUAUAACGUGUCAAAACUUAUCCAUUGAUGAUGACUAAAAAUGAAUCAUUGGAGUGUAUCUCACUCAAUUUAUAAUGGGAAGAAUAAUUGGAUGGCCACUAACCUUUUUGUCGCCUACUUCCAUCGACCUUUUUGAAGCACAAUCAGAGGCAGGAGGAGGGGUGGGUCCAAAGGAAAACAGCAUAAUGAGUGGUGGAAGAAGGGUCUAGGAGACUAGGAUUGAAAAUGACCCUCUCACCAGUUACCACUAUAAUGGAUGUGGCCAAAAGGAAUAAUAGGAUAGUAGUAGUCCAAGGGCAUCAAUCACGUCCCCGCCCUCCCUCCCUUCUAAUCGGAGAAUCAAGCAAAUCAACAUGAUCACGCCUCUCCUCCGCCCAUCAUAAUAAAAUUAAUAAAAUUUCUAACUUGUCUGCCGCAAUUUUACAUGUUGAAAAUGAAAUGGCAUCUUCUUUCUGUUCCUGGGUGCUGUCCCAUGUAAAAACUUCUCUCAUACAUGACAAGACAUUAUCAACUUUGCUUCUCACACACCCAAGUUCAAGUUCCGGAGCUCAGGCUUGGCACCCUACCAAAACUGCGGGCGCCCUACAAAUUACAAUGCACCCCGACUUUGGUGGAAAAAUAAUCCUUUUGUAAUUAAUAUCCAUACUUUUAUGGCUUUUAAAAGCACAGUCAUCAAUAAUGACUUUUAGAACCAUGAUCGGUCGUUAGGGUUUUGAUCUUGAAAAACUGCACUUAUCAAUUAUGAUUUUAAGACGAAAAAAGUUAGAAAAUAAUAAAUACUUUGAUGAACGCUUUCUACACGCCUCAAACAAACAGAAGGAACAGAACCGGGAAGGUGAACUAUUAAAACUUCACAACCGGACAAAAAAAAAAAAGUGGAAGAUUGACAUUUUUUUUGAUACAAGCGUAUCCUACCCCUGGUAAUGGCCUAAAUCAAAGUCUCAGAUCUUCAGGUUUUGUGAAGAUGUGAAGAAAAAUCUACACGGCUGUGGGGGUGUGGGUAGUGUUAUAUGUACAGAUGAUCUGGAGAAUUCAUUCCUACACUCAGAGAACAUCUUCUUGUGGGUGUCGUGGCAGAGUCGUGAGCCGACGAACUAAUACGUCUAGAGCUUCUUUCAUCCACCAAUGCUGACAAACUUCUCUUGCUUCCGCCACAUCCAUCUGUAUUUACAACAUAAUUCCACAUAAGGGUUAGGACUUGGGACUCCUCUACACAGUUAACCAAACAAGCAAGCAAGCAAUCACAAGAAGGAUAAGAAGAGUCUAUAGGCAUUGACAAGUGACAUUACCCAUAUUCUUUGCCGCUCAUCCUUCUCCGGCCACAGAUCAAGUUGCUCCUUUACAAGCAAAGGGAACAUGUACCCUUCAUAAAACGUCCCGUAUCUUUUGCUCAUGAAGCUCCAUUGCCCCAAUUCACACUGCAAAUCCAUUAUUUAUCAACACCACCAGUCACUUCACUACUCAAUUCCAGAUUCCAGAUUAAUGUGUAAGAGAUGAAAAGAGUCAAAUACUAACCCCCACUUUGCCUAGAACGCCCGCUUCUUCAAGGGACUCCCGGGAAGCUGCUUCUUCCACGGAUUCGUCAGUUUCCCAACCUCCCUGAUCAAAGUGUGUUUGUUCUAAUUAGAUGGUAAUGAAUUAUGAACAGUGAAAUUAAAAUUCAUUAUUUUAUAGAGGAGGUUAGUGGUUACUACCUUGGGGAACAUCAUUCCUUGGCCUUUCUUCGAACUGAUCACAAGGACCUCUAAUUCGUCCUUGAUGGAGCCAUCACUCCCGCUUUUAUAUCUGUAUGGAAUGCAUCUGCAGAAUUUAAAAAUAACGGGAAACAGAAUGUUUAGGUUCAGAAAAUCAACAAAAGGAAUAUAGAAUGAAAAAGACCAUAAGAAUGCAGAUGGGGGCCACCCCCUUUUUUCAAUUAAACAACGACCCAUUUCAAAAGAAACACUCGUCCACACACUCAUCAAUCAAUCACCCAGCACAGUAUGCAAAAACCCAGGAAGAAUCAGAAAACCCACCCCACAACCAGGCGUCGGCCUUGGUCGUAACGUUGCAGCUCCCUUCCCGUGCGAGAAACUACACAAACCAUCCUAACUUGCACAAAAACUCCCGAUACCACACAGAAGGAAGGAGGAGAAAAGGAACAAAAACGAAACCCCUUUGAUUGAUUUGUGUUUUCCCAAUCUGGGAUAAUACGGGCGGUUCACAAAAUCCUGAGAUUCCGAAGUUUUUCAGUUAUUCUAUAAAUGGAGAGAGCUGAGAUUGAGAUGAGGAUAAGGGAGGAGUCGGAUGAAAUUUGUGGGAGGAUUGUGAGAUUUGUGGAUAAAGGGGAACGGAACCGCUGGACACAAGGCUUUAUAUAGCAUAUUGCGGGCUUAUAUUGGGGAGGGAAGAACGUGUCCCUUCGGUGUGGAUGCCGCAUUAUUGUUUUGUAUAUAAUAAAUAUAAAAAAAAGCAGGUGGGGCCUAGAGACUGCGAGUUAUUCGUGGACGCGUCACGUCUCAUUCCCGGACGCUCAUGGUGACUUGGAUAUCUCCCCGUCGGUUCUUUUCUCAACCACCCUGGCUAGCUUUUUGCUUUUGCUUCCAUCCGCUUUUUAUCUAACGUCUUUCUGGGCAAAAUAAAAAAUAAAAAAAUACCAUUAAUUAUUCAAUUUUUAAUAAUGAAAAAACUGAAACCCACCAUACAUUUUCUUGGAUUAAUACUUUUCUCUGAUAGACUCCAUGCACAUUUGCAUGAAGGAACGUCCCUCUUGAAGGCUUUUUAAUCUCUCUUGUUUCCCAAAAUUGGAUGCUUAGUUAAUUGCUUAUACAUCUUGCACAAUCCCUGUAACCCCGUUACGAGUAGUGAAGUAAUUACUAUUGAAAAUCACUUGAGACCUUUUCUUUAGAAGUCCUAAUGUUGCUUAUCUUCCACACGUGGAAUCAUUCCCAUUCUCACUCACCCUCAUUUUAUUGCCUUUAGUCAACCAAUAUAUGAUGAAUCCUUUCAAUAUGAAAAAGAAGCAAGAAAAAAAAAAUUCACAUUCCUUGGAAUGGAAUCAAGUUCCCACCUUCCAUCCAGGUUGGUAAGAGCUUCUUGGAUGCUAUACUCCACCUCCCACUUGGUUUCCUCCUCAAAAACUUAUUUCACCUGGUUUCAACUUACAACUGACAAUGUGACCUGGAAUCUCAGAGAUAUUCAUAUUGUUUUUCAGCACAUGAUUCACAUCAUUAUGAUGCUGAAUUUGAUACUGCAAGCUCACGAUAAAUGAGGAUAAAAGAAAUUAGGAGGGGCUGGCAAAUAUGACAUCGGGAAUAUUUUUCAAAUAGUCAAAUUAAAUCCCAGUCGUUAGUCACCAGAUACAGAGAAUAACGAGUUCAAACAAUAGUAGAGAGGAGGGUACAAUUUGCUCACGUUAUUACGGUGGUCUUAUAUUGUAUACGCGUCCACGUGUAUGUUUCCUCUGGGAUCGAUCAGAACAAUUUUGAAAAAAUAUAAAAGACAUCGAAAGCAAGGUUUCGAAACAAAAGCAUAGAUAUCGCCAUCAAAAGAGGACCAGUGCGUCCUGGGAUUUGUAAGAGUCGGACUCACGUGCAGUGGAAAAACCGGAAGCCCGCCCACCCCAUGAGAAAUAUUUGGAUGCUCUUUUUGUCUCUUUAUUGUCCUCCUUUAAAAUUUUAACAUUAUACAAAGACUUGUCCACAGUUCUCCUACCAAAUAGUGGAGUUGUUGAGCUUCUCGAUUGUGAAUGGCGUCACCUUUGAGUGUUACCAUUUAACAACCGUGUUCUCUUGCCAAUUGGCAGCAUUCUUCUAUACGGAAAAAUUGCUUAUUGAAUUCAUUAAUGCUACGAGUGACGGGAUAAGGUUAGGAGUAUUUUAAUUCCUUGCCACAAAAUGGAAAGGAAGGAAGGAAGAAAUUAAUUGCUAUUGUGGACAUGGGAUGAAGCAGCCGAGCUUUUGGGCAAAGUCAGAAUUGGAUGGAGCGAGUGGUUCACCUAGGAAUAAUGGGCACUUGCGGAAACUUCUGGGAAAAAUGAGAGGUUAUUUUCUAUUCUUUUCAUUUUUCUUAGAUGAAUGUUCAUUGUUAAUAAUUUGAAACGAUGGAUAAAGAAAUCUAUUUUGGUUUCCAUAAGUGAAAAAAAAAACUCAAAAAAGUGAGAUGAUGUAAGAGGUUACAUUAGCUUGAAGCUUCCAUUUUUGUUGUUUAUACAAAUGUUAUUUUAUUUUUUUUUAAUGUCGAACCAUAUGCUUUUGACAUGGCAUCUUGUUGGAAUGCAAAUCUCCUUCUUGCAGGAUUAUAAAAAGAAAAUAAUAGUAAGUGGGUUUAAGUUUAAGGUUGUAUAAGAGCACUCCACCAAUAGUUUAUAACAAAGUCUUAAUCAGGUUAAGUUUUCUUAAAAAAUAAUCGCACCUAGUUUGUUACCAUCACAUGGAUCUGAUUUCAUAUACUUUCAAAACAUAUUUAAAAAAGUGUUUAUAGAUUUUUUAGUACUAAAAAAAAUUUAAUUUUCAAAUAUUAGAAAGGUCGAAAACAAUUUUUACCCAUCAAACUCAUUUUGAAUUGGUAGCUUUCGAAAGCUUUCAAAAGCAAAUUUGUCAUAUUUCAAUGAAUAUGAAUUUAAAGUAAAAGGAAAACGACAAAUAAAAAGGUCAGUUAUUUAUUUACUUUUAUUUUUUUUGUUAAAGACACCGUGUUUUUUAUUAUUCGGGUCAUAAAGACUCUCCACCUAUCCAUAGAAGUCAAUAUUUUUGUAUUAUUAUUAUUAUCCUCAUAUAUAAAUAAAAUUUACUUUCAUACCAUAUCCUUUUUGAAAAGUUGGAUUUUUUGAAAAAUAAUUUUAAAACAUGACUUACUUUUCAUCCUUUCCAUCCUUCGGAUUCAAAAGAUUUAAGCAUAUAAUGUUUUUUUAUAUGAUAAAGCAAGUUAUUUAAAUUACUUUUAUGAACUUCCUUUUACGUGAUGACAGAUUUUUUUUAAUUUUUUAAUUUUUAAAAAUAAAAUAUUAUGUAAAAAAAUUACUCAUAAUACGGUUCAUUAACCUAAAAUAAAAGUUUCUAAUCACAUAUUUGAAAGAAAUAUGAACUUUUAGUGGUUCGUGUACCACAUUUUCUAUUCUUAUCGGACUUUGUGGAGAGAUAAGUGGAGCCCCGUGGGUGCCCAUGGGCCCAAACCCACCUUGUGGAAUCAUGGGAUUUGGUCCCGAAAACCUUGAUUGGACUCAUCCUCCCUAAUCAUCACAGGUUGGGGAUCCCACCAUAUUUAAAUGUUUGUUUCAUAAAUAGAAUAAUUUUAUGUUUUUUCAAACAAAUAAAAAAUAAAAGUCAUUUUUUAUUUUUUAUUUUAUUAAUUAUUAUACAUGUAAAAUAAUUAAAAAUAAAACACUAACCAUAAAAAUUAUAUUUAAAAAUAUUUUGUAUUCCCAAACAAGUAUUUAUUUCAUAGGAAUAAUUUUUAAAAACUAUUUUUUAUAACUUUUUUCAAGAUUACCACACAAGUCUUAAAUUUCUUUUAAAAUAAUAAUAAUAAUAAUAAUAAUUCUCAUUCGAUAUUUAAGAGUGCGUUUAAUAAUAAUUUUAUUUGAAAUAUUUUCAAUAAAAAUGUUUUCUCUAAAUAUAAACAUUGUAUGUGAUUUUUUAAUUUUGUAAAUGUUUUUCAGAUUUUUUUAAAUAUAUUAAAUUUUUUUUCAAAGAUAUUUUUUUUAAUUAAAAUUACUUUCUAAAGUCAUUGUGAGGUGAAUCAAACUAGAAAAUUUAUGAAAAAUAAAAUUCAAAUUUGACUGGAAUAAAUUUUCUAUGGUAUAUAUUCCUUUUACUUUAUUUUUAAAAUAAAAAAAUCCAAAUAGUCAAAAUAUUUCCCAGAUUGAAAAGGUAUUAUUCAUAUAAUACAUUAUUUAUAUAUAUAUUAUAUUAUAAAUUAUAUUCAAUGAGUUACAUCAAAUUGAUGGAUGCUCUCAAACUCGCUUAUAUUUAAAUAUUUUUUUUUUUACUAACCCUCUCAAUUAACUUUAUUUCUUUUCACUAUCUUCUCUUGAUUUCUUCAUAUCAAAAUUGAAAAAAAAUCGUGAAGCCCUUUAAUCUUGAAAAUGCACAAUUUACUUGAUAAGAUUGUCUGGUAGUUGAUGAUUGGGCCAUGAUUCUCUUUAGAAAAGCUUAAAGAGGACUUUGUUUGGUAAUUAUUAUUAAAAUUAAUUUUUAAAUAAAAAUAAUUUUCUAAUUUAAAAAACAUGUGUUAUAGUUUUUUUUUAAAUAUUAAUUUUUCAUAAUUUAUUUUUAAAACAAAUUUAAGAUAUUUUUAAUUAAUUUUAUAUAUAUAGUAUGACACACAUUUCAGAAUUGAUGACUUUUUUGCACAUGCCCACAUCAGAGUUUGGGAAAUGUCCUCGAUUUUAUCGAAGUUUCAAAUUCAGUAGAAAAGAUAAAACCAUGUACCCGGCAGAAGUGAUAUCACGCGUCUAGAGGAUUCCAGUAACACGUGAUUAACAUUAAAACAGAAAAAAGUGGCCCCCACGUGCAGAGGCUUACGACUUGUUUGUUAAAAAAUCAGAGUAUGUUUUGGUAAUUGUUUUCCAAAAUUGAAAAACAGUUUUUAAAAAUUAUUAUAUAAUAUUUUAUAAAAUAAAAGUUUAUUUAAAAAUUUAAAAUAUUUUUAAUCUGUUUUUAAUAUUUUUAAAUAUGCUUUAAAAAUAAUUUUUACUUUUUAUUAUUUUACUUAUUUUUAUAAUUAUUUUUCAAAAUGUCAUUUAUAAAAUAAGUGAAAAUAAUAAUAAAUAAUUAAAAUAUAUUUUUUAAAAUUAUUAUUUUUAUUCUUAAAAAUAAAAAAUAAAAAAAUAAAUUUUAAUUAUUAAAUUUGUUUUUGUGAUUUUAAAAAAAAAUAGAAAACUGUCUUAUAAAUCAGUUAUCAAAUAAAGUCAUAUUUCUAAUUUUUUGUCCAUAAAAACAAAAACAAUAUAUUUUAGAUUGUUGUUUUAAAAAUAUUUUAAAAAAUAAUUAUAUAAACAAGUAAAAUACUUAAAAAAAAAUAGAAAAAAUAUUUAAAAUAUAUUUGAAACAUUUCAAAUUUUUAAAUAUGUUUUUUUUUUAUAAAAGCGAUUUUAAAAAAUAAUUUUUAAAAACUAUUUUCAAAAAAUACUUACCAAACAGGAAUGCUGCCUUCAGGUUUUUCUUCCCUCUGUGUACCACCAAUACCGUCUCAUCAUCUCCAGUAUUUCCAUUUGCAAACGCUCUGAUCCGGUGGGCUGUACGACUGUAUCCGGAUUCGACGCUUCACCAAUCUUCUGCUGUCAACAUCCACGGCCCUGUCCGAGAUGUCUGAUGUCUGCUGUCUGUUGUCUCUUUUCGUUUCUGGAAGAUGGGAACCGCUGGGCUUUCCGUAGUAGGUAAGCUUGACUUGUGCCGUUUAUUUACAUCCAUACACUCAACACUGGUUCAGCAGUUCACGGUUUUAGAUGGAAAAUUCGAUGGGCUGCUGUCUCCAUUUUCAGCUUUUGACUUAAAAUUACUAGCUCAAGCGUGGAAUAAUUCAGAUUCUAUUAAGUUGUACAACAGUUGAAAAUUCUAGACUCGUCCAACUCUAAUCAUAUAAUUCUCUAAAUUCAUUUGAAAACCUCUCCCAUAUAAGCUAAAAUUGUGAUUGUUUAUCUCAAGCACCCUCAUGCAACCAUGCACCUUAUUAGAACCAUAUUUUUCGGUGUUCACCCUAGAUAUUAACGCUAUGUUUGGUUAUUGAAAAUUAAAAAAAAAAUGUUUUUUUUUAAAAAAUUAGAUAAAAAAAGUUAAAACUGAAGCUUGCCUCAAUGGAUUUGCUUUGUGGUUUACCCGAAGAAUUAAUUUCAAUUUUCUUCCAACUACAAACCUAUAAAAGAGAAAAGCUCCUCCGGUCUUACAUGAUUUUCAUUGUUUCUUUCUAUGUCUUAUGCGUUUUUAUUUUUAUAACGUUUUAUAAAAACAAUCAAAGAAAUUCUCUCUUUCUCCUUUAUUUAUUUAUUUAUUUUCUGAUAAUCGAGCAACCUUCCAAGGUCAAACCCGUAAAACUCUUCAUGGAGACUUAAAUCUCGGGGUGCUGACUAUCUCGUAAUAAUCAAUAACAAGUAAAUUCAGGAUAUCAUCAGUGAUAGAAUUCGAUCCAAGACUACAUAUCAUUUAUUAAAGCCAUAUUUUUUUAUGUUCACCUUGAAUAUUAAAACUAUGUUUGGUUACUGAAAAUUUUAAAAAUAAAAUAUUUAAAAAUAAAAAUUAGAGAAAAAAAGUUAAAAAAAAAAGCAAAUAUAUAUAUAAAAAAUCAAAAAAUUAUUUUUAUACACUGCUUCAACUUCAAUUUUUUUAACGACCCUCCCAAACUAAAAAUAAAGAAAAAACCUAGAUCCACUUUCAAAACAUAAUCUAGAGGUCAUUGUCUCCAACUUCCUCUACCAACCUACCUACCCUUCCUCUACCAACCUACCUACCCCGCUCUCUCAUCUCAUCUCUCAUUUCCCCCCACUCCCGCUUUCUUUUAGUCCUUCUUGACAACCCUUCCUCUCUCUUUAUCACCCCAUUUUCAUACUAUUUUCCCUCUCUCUCUCCCACGUCCCAUCCCUCUCACAACAGCUCCACUCCCACCUCCCUCACACCAGUUCUAACCUUCAGUACCAUAUUCCAUCUUCUCUAUGACUCCACCUCCACCACUCAUUACCACCACAACCCACCAUCCCUGUCGCUAGUAGCGUGCCACACCAUUAGAUCUAGUACUAGCACUGCCAUUGUUUCACACGCGCAGCCGAGACCUUCUUCAUGCACCACCACUAUAUCAUGGGAUUUUUUUUAUAAAAGUACGAUAAAUUUAAAAAAAGUAAUUCUUAAAUUAUCUAAGUAAAAAAAAUAAUUUCAAAUUUAUGAUAAUUUUUAUCAGAUAGGAUAAAAGGAGAUUUGUUAUCUUUAGCAACUUGAAAAUUGUAUUUUGAAAAGACGAUUUUCACCAAAACAAAUAUAUAUAAAAAAAAAAUUAAUCAUUCAGUACCUUGAAAAGACAAUUUUCACAAAAACAAAUAUAAAAAAAAAUUAACCACUCAAAAAUCGUCUUUUGAAAAGACGAUUUCCACCCAAACAAACAUAUAAAAAAAAAAUUAUCCACUCAAGAAUCAUAUCUUGAAAAGACGAUUUCCAUAAAAACAAAUAUAUAUAUAAAAAAAAUUAAUCACUCAGAAACCGUUUUUUUUGAAAAUACGAUUUCCAAAAAUAAUUGGAAACUAUUUUUUGUUUUAUUUUUAUUUCAAGUUAUUUUGUAAUGUAUGGUUUUUAUUAUUAUAUAAGUUUUUAAAUUUAUUUGGAUUAUGUAAUAUUUGUUUGAAUAAUAUUUAUUGAAAAUUAUUAUUUUAAAUAGAUUAAAUCAUUCAAAAAAAUAAAAUAUAUAUUAUUUUAUUCGUAGGUAAUAUUUUUACCUUUAUUUCAUAUUUAUUGUAUAAUACAUGAUAAAUAUUUGUUGUUAUAUGUAUUUUUUUAAAUUUAUUGGAUUUAUGGUAAUUUUGUUAGAAUAUUAUUUGUUGUAAAUUAUCAUUAUAUCAAGAUCAAUGAAUUAAAUUAUUCAAAAAAUAAAAAUGAUACUAGUUUAUUUAAUUAAUAUGAAAUAAUAGGAUUAUUGCUUAAUUUUAUCAAUCAAAUAAAACGUUUUAUAAAAUAUUAAAAUUUAAAUUUAAAAAUAAAAUAAAAUAUUAGUAAAAUGAGAAUGAAAAAUAAUAAUAAUAGAAUAAUUAUAUAUUAAAAUCUAAAAAAUAGAAAUACAACAUUAUCCAAAAUUAUGAAUUUAUCCUAUAUAUUUUUUUAAAUUAAUAUUAGUGUUAAAUCAUUGAAAAAAUUGUUGUAAAACAAUGAGAUGUAAAAAUAAAAAUAUAAAUAGAAAUAGAAUUAAAACUAAAAUGUUAUUUGAUUUAUUUAAAUGGAUAUUUAAAUGUGUGUGAAUAUAUAUAUAUAAAGUAAUUGUGUAUAAUAUAAAAUAGUAACCGUGAGUAUUAAAGAUAUAUAUAUUUAAAUAUUAAAAUAUUAUAUACAUUUAAAUAUCCAUUUUAAAAAAGAAAAGAAAUAUAUAAUUGUAAAAUGUUAGAAUAUAUAAUAAAAUAAAAUAAAAUAAAUCAAUUUAGUAAUGGUUGUUAGGAUUAAAUUAUUUUUUUGCAUAUAAUAUUAUUUAAAAAAUAUUAAAAUAUAAGAAAUAUAAGUAGAACAUUAUCCAAAAUUAUGAAUUUGUCUUCUAUAUUUUAUAAAAAUUAAUAUUAGUCUUAAAUUAUUGAAAAUAUUCUUGUAAGAUAUUGAGAGCUAAUAAUAAAAAAUAAAUAAAAGUAGAAAUAAAACUAAAAUAUUAUAUGAUUUAUUUAAAUUGUCUCUAAAAGACGAUAUCCACAAAAAAAUAUAUAUAUGUAAGAAAUUCUCAUUUAAAAGAAAAAAAAAACCAAGUGGAAAAUCGUCUCUUGAAAAAACCAUUUCCAUACUUUUAAGAAAUUAUCACUUUAAAAAUCUAUUUUUCAUUCUUUAUUCUAUUUAUACAAUAAUACAAUUAUUAUAAAUAUAUAUUAUAAAAUUAAUUAAUUUUAUUUACUAAAUUUAAUAUAUAAAUAACAUACUAAAUUUAAUAUAAGAUAAAUAUUUUUUUUUCUCUUACUUUGGAAUUAUAAAAAAAAACUAUUACCAAUUUAUGUGAAAAAUGAAUUUUAAAAACAAUUGUUAUUAAUUUAUUAAAUAAUUAUUUAAUAUAUUAUUUUUAAAAAGCCCGAGUGGGAAUCAUCUCUUAAAGAGACAAUUCCACACCACCUUUAAAAGUGAGAAAUUCUCACUUCAAAAAAACAAAAUAUUAAAUUUAGUAUGUUAUUUAGUAAGAGAAAAAAUGGAUUUUUAAAGGGUUUUCUUUUUUUCUUUUUGUUUGAAGUGAGAAUUUCUCAAUUUUAAAGGUGGUGUGGAAUCGUCUCUUCAAGAAACGAUUUCCACUUGUUUUUUUUUUAAAUAAUAUACUAAAUAAUUAUUUAAUAAAUUAAUAACAAUUUUUUUUAAACUCAUUUUUCACAUAAAUUGAUAAUAGUUUUUUUAUUUUAAUUCCAAAGUAAGAGAAAAAAAUAAUAGAUUAUUUAUCUUAUAAUAAAUUUAGUAUGUUAUUUAUAUAUUAAAUUUAGUAAAUAAAAAUAAUUAAUUUUAUAAUAAUUGUAUUAUUGUAUAAAUAGAAUAAAGAAUGAAAAAAAUGGAUUUUUGAAGGUUUUUUUUUUUUUUAAGUGAGAAUUUAUCGCUUGUAUGAAAAUUGUCUCUUGAAGAGAUGAUUUCCCACUUCUCACUUUUGUGUGGAAAUCGUACGAUUUCUCACUUGGGUUUUUUUAUUUAUUUUCUUUUAAGUGAGAAUUUCUCACAUAUAUAUAUUUUUUACGUAGAAAUCAUCUCUUUAAGAGAAGAUUUCUCACUUUCUUUUAUUUAUUUAUUUAUUUAUUUUUUAAAAUCGUCUCUUUAAGAGACAAUUUUUUACUUGCAAGCUAUUUUCUCUUUUUUAUUUGGACAAAACUACUGUAGAUUUGAAAUUAUUUUUCCUACUACGAUAAUUUAAAAAUUAUUUUUUAAAACUAUUGUACUCUUAUAAAAAAUCCCUAUAUCAUGCCUUUCUUUCAUCCGUGACUACCCAUAGUGAGGGUAAGUUCCCUUGAUUUGCGCGGUAUCGAUUUGAGAAUUCGGGCUUGAUCAUAGGAUGUAGGUUUUCAUUGGAUUUCCUUUCGAUUUUGGGCCUAAGAUUGAGUUGAUAUUGUUUGGGUUUUUGGGUUUUAAUUGAUUUUUUGUUGUGCGCUGUAUAUUAUUUGUUAUUGGGCUUUACUGUUUGGGCUUGCUACAUUGUUUUGGAUCAUAUUGAUAUUGGGCUUUAUUUUGGGUCAGCCCAUUUUCUAGACUUUGGAGGGGGCUGUUAUGUGCACCAUGUGGAGGGUCAGAUUUCAUGGAAGAAAGGGGUGUUUGGGAAGCUGUAUUUAAGGGCACUAGACCCUAUGGUAGAGUUCAAGAAUUUACUUUAAUAAAAUAAAAUUUCCAGAAAUUCGUUUUUUGAAAUGUCCAGAAAAUUGUUUUUUGAUAAAAAGGCUCCAGAAGUUUGUUUUUAAUAAAUUCAAAAUAUUGUUUUUUUUUAAAAAAAAAAAGGUUCGAGAAAUUUGUUUUUAAUAAAUUUAGAAAAUUGUUUUUAAUAAAAAAAGUUCCAGAAAAUAUUUUUGAUAAAUCCGAAAAUUUGAUUUUAAUAAAAAUUAAUAAAAUAGUUUCAAUAAAAAUCUAGAAUUUUUUUUUCAUAAAUUGUCCAAAAUGAUUUUUAAAAACAAAAGUAUUAAAAAUUAUCUUUAAAUAAAAAUUGCAAACAUGCCAAGGUGAAAUCACAAAAUUCUUUUAAAUAAAAUAACUUUGUAAUAGUUUUGUAAAUUAUAAAUCAUUUAAAAAAAAUAAAGAUGAAAUCUCCUUGUAAAAUAUGCUUUUAAUGGAAUUAAAUGAAAACAUUUUUUUAAAUAAAAUUUAAUUGGAAAGUAAUUAUCAUAAGUGGAAGUUGUAAUUUUCGAAAAUGAAGUUUGAUUUAGAAAUAAUUUUCAAAAAUAAAAGUUGCAAAAAUCUUUUAAUAAUAAAAAUCUCUUCUUAAAUAAAAUUGGUUUGGAGAUAUUUUUUUUCAUAAAUAGAAGUUGUCAAAUUCUCUUUUUAAAUAAAAUUAAAUUAAAAAUAUUUUUAUAAAAAAAUCAACUUCUUAAUAAAAUUGAAUUAAACUAAUGAAAACCUUUUCUUUUUAAAAUCAUUUUUCCUAAAUAGAAAUUUAACUGAUACUUAUUUUUUAAUAAAUCAAUUUCUUUGUAAAUAAAAAUCAAAUUGAAAUUUUAUCUUGUAAAUAAAUUUGUAAACAUCAUUUUUUUUCCUUAAACAAAAAAAUUGAAGUAGAAUACUUUCUUGAAAACAAAUUUUUAAAAAUUCAUUCAUUUUCUAGCAAAAAUAAAUAAAAUCACUUUCUUGUAAAUAAAAUCAAAUUCAAACUUUUCUCUUUAAACAAAAUUGUAUUCAAUAUAUUCUUUUAAUAAAUAAAUCAAAUCCUUUGUUAAUAAAUUGAUUUUUUUUGAAAUUCUAUUGUGAUUUUUAGAAUAAUAAAUAAUUUCUAUAAUAAAUUGAUUUGUGCAUCUCUUAUGUAUUAAUUCUGUUUGUUUUCGUAGUCCGUUUUCACAAUUUCAUUAUUGUAUCAUAUUUUCCUCGGUAUCCAUAUUUGAUUAAUCAAUUAAAGUAUAAAUACUUCAUAAAAUUAUUAUCAAAUACACUCUUAGAGUGCGUUUGAUAGUGAUUUUAGAAAAUAUUUUUAACAUCUUUAAUACUUAAAAGAUAAAAAUUUUCAAAUAUUAAAAAUACUAGAAACAUUUCAUAAAAUCAAUAUCAAAUGCAUUCUUAUUAUUAUUUAACAAUCAUUAAAAUACAAUAACGAGGAAACCUUGAGCUAAUAGGUUCAAGUUUUUGCUCCACAAGCAAAAGAAUAAUAACUCUAUCACAAAUUCAUCCAUUAACGAUAGCAAUCCUUCCUACCAUCUUCUUUUCUCCAAAUAAGACUUUUGUUCAUGUCAUGGAUGUUGGUUUCGCAUUCCAAUAUUAGCAACUUCUAGAUUCAUACGAGUAUGAAGCCAUGAACCAUUUCUAGGAAGGAGACAUUACCAAUUUCAACAUGCUAAGAAUUUAGUAUUGUAAUGAUCAUGAUUGAAGGUAUUACCCUUUAAUUAUCAUUUGGAUAAUUAUUCAUUGGAAGACCAUUCAGCUAGAUUCAUAUAAUUAUGAAAGGAUGACCAUUUCCAAUUUUCUACUUCUGCAUUCAUACCAUCAAGAAGAAGUCAUAAAUCAUUUCAAAGACGUCUCUCUACUCCAACAAACAGGGGACUCCUCGGAUUUAAACAAAAGACAAUGAUACACUACAGGAGAGGGAAAGCCAAGAAGUUUUCAAAAGCCUUUGAAAAUUUAAAGAACCCUUCAAAGAUUUAAAAGAUUUUUCAAUUGAAGACUUCAAAAUUUUUUAAUCAAGUAUUUGAAGAUCCAAAGACUCAGGUUAUCUUUGAUUUCCAAAAAGUAAUAAAGAACGAAAAAAAAAUGUUAAAUUUUUUUUUUCUCAUAUUUGAUUGUCUUAUGAAAAAUAUAAAAAAAAAUCAAAUAUAAUUAAAACCAGUUAAAAACUUAUAUAUUUAAAGGUGUAAGACCUUAUAAGACCUUAAGUUAUACCAACUCUCCCAAAAGUAAUUGCUAUUAGAAAAUGCGCAUAUCCUAUUCUUAUAAUGUCUUCACCCAAGUGCUUAUAACAUUCGAACACAAUGGGAGUUGAUGGAUGCAACUAACCUUAGGGAAAAAAAUAGAAAUAAAAAGUAAAAGGAAAAAAAAAACGAAGGAAAAUAAAAAAUACAUUCAAAAUCAAUAAAUUAUUUUUAUAUAUUUCUUUAAAUUCAUUUUAUUUAUUUUCAUUCAUUAUAUAAAGAUUAAAUAAUUUUAAAAUAUAUAAAUUUUUAACUAAUUUUAAUUAUAUUUAAUUUUAUUUUUUUAUGGUAAAACCAAAUAUGAGAAAACCACUUUCUUUGACAUUUUUUUUUUCUUACUUUCCCCUAACCAAACACAAGAGAAUAUUUCAAUCAAAAAAAUUAAUAUCUUAUUUGGAGAUCUAUUGAAAAAAAUUAUAUUUUGUUAGAAUAGGUCUUUGAUAAAAAAUUAAGUAUUAAAAUACUUGGAGUGUGUUUUUGUCUUUUAUAAAAAAAUAAAAUAAAAAUUAGAUGACAAGAUUGAGAUUGUUUCAAAUUACAUAAAUCAAUGAAACUUGGUGGAUAAAAUCGUAAGUUUGAUUGAUUUAUGAAAUUGGCAUAGUGGUAUUUAGAUCAAUUUCAUUUUAGGGCGCAAGUCUUCAACUAUAACCAUCAAGCCAAGAGUCCAAGACCUUCAAGUCAUCCAACAUACUUGCUUAAUGAUGGGACAGGUUAAGUAGCCUAACUUGAGCAUGUGUAAAGCAUUUAGCAUUUGGGGAAGUAUUCUUGUGAGUUGUGAGGUAUCAAUCAAUACAUUAACAAUUGAGAAAUUCAUACUCAGCAGUGGGGUUCUUGUGAGCAAGGCUUGGCCAACUGCCAACAUGGGCCUAUUUGGACCGCACAAAUGUGGCAGCCACCAGCACGCAUGACUCCAAAUAGAAAAAAAAAAAAGUAAAAAAAAAAAAAGAUUAAACAGAGUAGGUAAGUUUAGAAAAGUGGAGUGCUGCAAAAUCAAGAAACAUGAGGAGCAAAUGGGAGGAGGCAACGUGGCAAAGUUGGAUGAUUCUUGAAGCACACAACUGCCGGCCGCCGACCAACCAAAUCACAAACCUAACGCCCCUCACUAACUAAUUAAGUUAUUUAGCCAUGUCGUUAAACCGCCAUAAUGCCUUCGUCUUUACCCCCAGUAUCCUCAUGUCCCCCGUUCUCAUCCUAUCAUAUCCCACAUGCCUUAUGGCUACAUGUGAAAGGUUCUGGUCAAAUGUCAGGGCCCCAAACAAUACUCACAUAUUUCCACGACUUUCAACUUUCAAAGUUUCGAGGUCGAAUCUUUUAAGGAAACAUAAGUCACGGACCAAUUUUUUUCAGAUGUCCGCCCCUCUUCUAAGUAUUUGACAACGAUUUUACGUGACUUCGAUGAGUCGUCCUCAGUAUGUUUUAAGAAAAAUUAUUCAAACAAUAAGUAGUAAUUAAGAGAAAAAAAGAACGAUAUUGAGGAACCAUGAUAUAUCUGAUCCAGGUAGGACUAGUACUAAACCCUUGCGAGAGACAUGUGGAAUAUAGGGGGAGAGGGAGAGAGCGGUCAAAGGAAGGAAGCCAGGUGUGAAGCCUCUGGCCAUCAGGCCAUCUACCCAUCCUCUUUGAAAAUUGGUUAGUUGCCACAGAAAUGCAUUGACUCCCGCAAACAUUAAAACUGAACCCACCAAACAAAUCCAAGGAAAUUAUUUUCAAUUUUUCAUACUUCAAUUGAAAAAUAAAAUCCCUAGCCGUCCACCAAUCGUGGCCCUCCGUUUGGCUUUCACAGCGGCCACGAUUCUCCCACCGCUAAUGCUGCUGUCCAAAUCUGUAUCUCGUGUUGAGUAAUUGUGAUAAAGUAGAGGGGCAUUGGUCGGGCAGAGGGUUCAAAAGAGUCGUCUGACUCAAGUAUUGGUGAUCAACUCGUGCAUAUUGAUAUUUCCUCCACGUUUCGGUGUUCAUAUUUAUAUAUAAAGAAGGAAAGACCUCUUGCAAUAUCUCUCAAAACGCCUUCAGAAACUGAGAGAGAGAGAGGGGCAUAGAGGAAGCCAGCACAAGAAAUGAAGGAGAGCGACAACAACAAAAUGGAAGAAGAGAAGUAUAUGGGUGCUCCGAUUCACAGUCAGGUAAUGAAGAUCAAGCAAGAGAUGGAGAAGAUCAGCCACCCGUCUCUGCAGCAGCCUGAGGUGAGGCGUGUCCUCCGUGACAUCACCCGGCAGCGCUCUCGUUCUCCGUUGGGAUUAGCUGAUAGGCCUAUCUCAGUUGCCAACUCCUAGAAUCUUCCCACCACAUGGAUUGCAGAUCUUAGUCUUUUUGUCCUUUUUUUUUUUUUUACCUCUUGUUCUUGACAUCUUGCUGUCUUGUUCAGCUACCCACCAGUUUCUAUGAUUUUGUUAUUGUAUAUAUAUCUUGUGGAGCAGGAUGUGGUGGCUACUUUCUGAUUAAUUUCUAAAAUUUGAAGGAUUCACUCCAACACUAGCUUUUCGUCCCUUUUAAUUUUAGACGGAUUGAUGAACUACUGGAAAUUUCUUCCAUCACUUUUCUCCUGUUUUCUUAUGCUUUGAACACAAAUUCCAUCUUCCUUAACAUUUUCUUUAUUGGUUUUGUUGGUAUAGAUUCUUUAUAGAAAGCACUCGGAUCUCUCCAAAUUUUUCGUCGUUGGCUUUGUUGACAUGAUGAUGAAUAAUUAUGCUCUGCACUAAAUCCAUUAUCCACUUCCCACGCACAAUCAUUAGUCAUAUAUCAUGCUUUAAAUAUAAGGACAUGAUUAGCUUUACCAGAUAUUUUAAGUUUAUUUAAACUAAAACAGAUUCUGCAUUUACUUUUUUCAGUUUUUUCUGCCAAUUUCAUGGAUGGUAAGGUGUUCAUUCAGUUUUCAUGGCAAUUCAAUCAUUAAUGAGGCAAAGAUUAACCAAGUUGUUGGCCAUGCUUUCAAUUGAAUUUGUAUGGGGCCUUUGCAAACUAAAUCAAUGUCCAAUUACAGAAGCAAAAUAUAGAUCAGCUAAAAUACAGAGAUCUGAGAACCAGGGCAAAGGGGAGUAAAGUUUAACUGUACAUUAGUGUAGAAAAAACCAAAACAGAACGCUACAAGUGUGAAAUAAAUUGCAAUAAGAAGUCAAAUGAACAAAGAGGGAUCACCGGCCCCAACCCAAAAUUUCCUAGAAGCGUUUUGAGUCAAAUAUGCUUCAAAACAGAAAAUUAUUGUAGAGAAGAAUAAAAGAUAAAAAGGAAAUGUACAUGGUGAGAACAAUGAGACAUAAGGGUGAAUGAGUCUCGGUCAAACUUUCAUUUUCUUUUCUUUUUUUCUAUCUGAUCUGCAGAGCUAAAAUAACUCUUCUACCAUGAUAACUUAGCCUUGAGCACUGAUCUUUUCCUUUGACGAGAGUAACUUCACCCUGCUUGUGAGACCUCUCAUCACAUCUAUAAUCACUGAUUUCUUUUGGAUCCUAAACUGGAUAGCUAAUUCAGCGGAACCCGAAACACCUUGUUUCAAAAGGGCUUCAUCCUCCAUUAUUUUGGUGGGGAAGUGUCCCAGUGCAAUCACACAUAAUGCAAUAACAGUGCGUAGAGCAGCCACUUCGUUUGAUAUCCCAAGAGGAGCUUCGGCUGCUAAUGAUUUAAGUGUAUUCAAAUCGUGCUUCUGUACUGUUUCCAAGUCAGAGGCAAGAAGUACUCUUAAGGCAGCCAACAGGCGGCCCUCUACCAAUUCUGAGCCUCCUAAGUUUACCUGCCAUAGGAAAAAAACAUAAGAUAAGCAUAUGAGGUCAAAAGUCUGAAAUUCAAGAGCAACUCUAUGAAAACAAUGACUGUCUUUGUUAGGUUAGUCCUCAACUAGGGUGGCAAGUCUGCCUUUGGUACCACCUGUUAUGGAUGUUGAAGGUUCAAGCUUGCAAGAUUUGAUUAUGAAAAUCAAAUCCAGGGCAUGAAGUCGUUUUGGAUAAUCUAGAGGCAGUUUUGUUCAAUGUUUUUGGAUCAGGGAAAAGGGAAUGCAGUCAUCAUCUUCAUCCGCCUCAUAAGUCACUGCUGUUUCGGUUAUUUAGGAUAUUUGCAUGAGGGCAUUGUUUGUAAGUUUUUAAAUGUACUCUACAAAGACUUGAAUUUUCACUUUUAUAAUCUCCUUUUUUUUUUUCCUUAGUAAUUCUAUUUUUAAUUUCCUAAUUGGUGAUUUUGAAGUCUCACAGAUUAUGGUGGUGUUGAGCCACCAAAUACAAAAAGUUAUCAAAACUGACAUAUUCCAAGUCAAAUGUUUGGUUAUUUAGGAUAUUUGCAUGAGGGCAUUGUUUGUAAGUUUUUAAAUGUACUCUACAAAGACUUGAAUUUUCACUUUUAUAAUCUCCCUUUUUUUUUUUCCUUAGUAAUUUUAUUUUUAAUUUCCUAAUUGGUGAUUUUGAAGUCUCACAGAUUAUGGUGGUGUUGAGCCACCAAAUACAAAAAGUUAUCAAAAUUGACAUAUUCCAAGUCAAAUGUUUGGUUAUUUAGGAUAUUUGCAUGAGGGCAUUGUUUGUAGGUUUUUAAAUGUACUCUACAAAGACUUGAAUUUUCACUUUUAUAAUCUCCUUUUUUUUUUUCCUUAGCAAUUUUAUUUUUAAUUUCCUAAUUGGUGAUUUUGAAGUCUCACAGAUUAGGGUGGCGUUGAGCCACCAAAUACAAAAAGUUAUCAAAAUUGACGUAUUCCAAGUCAAAUGCCCAAAAGCUGUUCCACAAUGCAAAACCAAACACAACCUAGUUGGAACAGCAGUAUCCCAACCCAAGGUUGGAAAUGAGGGAAUGCAAGGCAGCUUACUUUAAGCUAUAGUUAGUCUAAACAAAAAGUAAGAAUAGUGAUAUUCAACUCUUGAAAAUUCAACUAGAGAAGGGGAAGCAGAAACCUUGAGAACAGGAGCUUCUCCAUCUAAAUUUAGCUGGGAAAGAAUUUGCUGUUGCCAGGGAGCUGGUGAAGAGAAGUUCGGGGACAUGACCCCAGCAGCCAUGCUUGCAGCAUCCAGAAGGGCUCCAUCAUAUUUGAGCUCAAUACAGUCAUAGGGAUUUGAGGGUAUCACAAAUCCAUAAUCAAGAAGGAAAAAGUCAUUGUUCAAACAGCCAUAGUUGAGUACUAGAUUAUCAUCUUGUUUGAUCUGUGUUUCCGCCACAACCUGGUGUUCAUGGACUAAAUAAAUUAAAUUGAAAGGAGGAGAGAAAGAUGAAGAAAUAUGAAUCCCCUUCCCCACCAAAGAAAAGGUAAAAAAAAUGAACGUGCCUUUAUUAACAUAUUAGUGCUCCCUGCAUCUUGUUCCUGAACAAUUUGGGCAUUAGGAUUGAAGCUGUGGUUGCACAUAUCAAUAAGAGGAAGCAUCAUAGGAACAUCAACAUGCGUCCCAUCUGACAGUUUCUUGCCGUGCAAACGGAAUGCCCUGGAUGAGACUGCAGACAUUGCCCAUCCAAGGGAAGAUGCAUCAACAUCUUGACCCCUAAAAGGGUGAUCAUCCGGUUUCAGAUUUUUCAGUACACGUUUGACUUCUUUCUCAAAAUCUAGAAGAAACCGACAUCUCUUGUUUACCUGGUGCAAGCAAAUCAUGAGCAACUAUGAAUAUAACUGCAAAAAUCAAGGGCUGUUUGGUAAUCCGCAGUCUCAGCACUAUGGUAUCAAAUAUAUAUAUACCCUUCAGCUGGUCCACUCAGGGGAAACCAAAAACAGGAGCAAAUCCUGGAAAAUUUUCUGUGAUUUGGAAAGUUAAAAACUUGGGGUCAUAUGCUAAUAGAGCUCCUUCUAUGUGGGAUGGGGUGGAAGAGAGAGUAAGGAGGAGACUUGCGCUUUGGGAAAGACAAUAUAUUUCCAAAGGGGGAAGAAUCACACUAAUAAAAAGUACUUUGGCUAGCAUGCCAAUCUAUCAAAUGUCUAUUUUCAGAAUGCCCAAGAUUGUUGCUAGAAGGCUAGAGAAAGUGCAAAGGGACUUCCUAUGAGGAGGGGGAAACUUGGAGGGGAAAAUUCAUCUAGUUAAUUGGGAGGAGGUAUGUACAAACAAGGACAAGGGUGGGCUAGGCCUAAGGAAGCUAGCCAUGUUGAACAAAGUCUUGCUUGGCAAGUGGAUAUGGAGGUAUGCUUGUGACAAAGAUAAUCUUUGGAAACAAGUGAUUACGGUGAAGUAUGGGCAAGAGGGACUUGGAUGGAGGCCAAAGAAGGCUAAUGGGGCGGUUGGAGUAGGGGUUUGGAAGGAGAUUUUGAAAGAAUCUGAUUGGUGCUGGGAUAACAUGGUAUUCCGAGCUAGGAAAGGUACCAAAAUCAGAUUUUGGACAGAUGUUUGGUGUACUGAUACAGCGCUGUCCCAUUGUUUUCCUCGUCUCUUCGUCAUGGCUGUUCAUAAUAAUUCAACGGUUGAGGAAAUGUGGGACCAAAAUUCUGGUCAAGGAGGUUGGAACCUAAAUUUUUUGAGGGACUUCAAUGAUUGGGAGUUGGAUAUGGUUGGGGAUUUGCCCCAUGUGCUAAGGGGUCAUAGGCCUUCUUUGGAGGAAGACUCGGUUAUUUGGAGGCGAAGAAAAAAUGGUCAGUUCAAGGUCAAGGAAGCUUAUAGUUUGUUGGCCAAUCCUAAUGACACCGGCUUUCCUUCAAGAUGUAUUUGGGUGGCUACGGUGCCAACUAAAGUCGCCUUCUUUGCUUGGGAGGCGACGUGGGGGAAGGUGCUUACUCUGGAUAGGCUCCAAAGAAGAGGGGUGCAACUUCCUAAUUGCUGUUUUUUGUGUGGUUGUGAAGAAGAAAAUGUAAAUCAUAUUCUUAUACAUUGUAUAGUGGUUAGAGCUUUGUGGGAUAUUGUCCUUAGGUUAGUAGAUGUUAAAUGGGUCUUUCCAGAAACUGUAAAGGAGGUAUUAAUUAGCUGGAAGGGCCCCUUUGUGGGGAAGAAAAGGAAAAAGAUUUGGAAAUUCAUUCUGUUGUGCAUUUUUUGAACGGUAUGGAAGGAGAGGAAUAGAUUAGCUUUUAGGGGGGAGGGAGGGGGGNNNNNNNNNNNNNNNNNNNNNNNNNNNNNNNNNNNNNNNNNNNNNNNNNNNNNNNNNNNNNNNNNNNNNNNNNNNNNNNNNNNNNNNNNNNNNNNNNNNNGGGGUGUUGAAUAUUCAGAAGCUAAAAAAUUUUUUUGUUUGUAAUUUGUGGAGCUAGGCCAAAUUGGAUUUAGGUGCGGAGGCUUUUUCUCUUAUAGGCUUCCUGGAGUGGGUAGCAUCCACUUAAGGGGAGGUGAAUCUUUUUGUCUUUGUUUUUUGAGGCUUAGCCGCCUUGUAUACCCCCUGUAUGCUUUGUGGCUUUUUGCCUCUUUCUUAAUGCAUUUCUUCUUUACUUAUCAAAAAAAAACUUGGGGUCAUAUGCUAAACACAAUUAGAAGGGUUCUGGUCCACAUUUGGCAGAACAGAUAUUCCCGCUCCCCAAACAACGAUCAUAAUUUUGAUCUGAAAGCACUAAAUCAGCAGAAAGUAUUAGCAUUUAAGUUUAUUGAUUUAAAUACCUGGUAAAGCAGAGGAGCAUACUGCAAGUUCUUUAUAUCCUCUCCAGGAAAGAAGAUGGGUACACUGUAAGUUUCUGGAAGAUUGCUGAUGUAUGCCCACCAGAAGGAACCAAUUGAUGCUCUUUCUUGCAAAAGCUUCAAACCCAAUCUCAUAGCCCAUAGUUCCUCUGCCAAAUGUGCUCAAUGUCCAGUUUACUCCUUAAAUUGAAAACUCAGUGUAGCGUGUAGCCUAAUGUUUAAAAUUGGAGUCACUAACCUAUAUUUUGAACAGGAAAGCCUACAUGCAAUUUCAUAAAACAUAGGUUUCACUUUUUGUGACACUCAUAUAUCGUAUUCUAAACAGAAGAAAAACUAAAGUCAGAUAUAUUAUAUGGAUAUUCUGUGCUUGGAACCAAAUUCUAGAGGAAAAUAAUUCAAUUAAAGGAACUUGAGACAAAAUGAAUUGGAUUUCAAUUCCUUCAUCAUGUUGGUAUGGGAAUUGAAAUGAAAACAAUUCUUUCUGUUGUAUCGUAUUGUAAUAAAGAUGGAAAAGAAAUCAUUUGUUUUAUUUUUUUUUUAUAGGUAAAAGCACAAAGAUAUGUUAGAAAAAGGGUGCUUGAAAGGUGACCCAGAGCAUACAGGGAGUAUACAAGUGUCACCUAAAAAAACAACAAAAACACAAGCACUCACCGGCCCUCAACAAGAACCCAGCCAUUCCACAAAGUUAAACAAAGUUAAGGGGCCUACAGCUAUAGAAGAUUUAGCCCAAGAUAAGAGAUUACAAACAAAGGAAUUUUUCAAUCUUUGAGUCGACAAAGUCUCAUUAUCAAAGACUAUCAUAUUUCUUUCCUUCCAAACCAUCCAAAAUAAACAAAGAGGAACUGCCCGCCAAACCUUUCUAUGUUUCUUGUCCUUAAACGAAACAUACCAACUUAAUAGAGUGUUUCUCACCGUAAGCGGCAGAACCCAAUUAACUCCAAAAAGAGAAAACACAAGAUCCCACAAAAUCUUCGCCUUAGAACAAUGAACAAGGAUAUGAUUUAUCGUUUCCUCUUCAACACAACACAAGCAACAUUUGUUGGCUAAAAUCCAGCCCCUCCUCUUAAGUUGAUCUUGAGUAAGGACCUUCUCCCAAGAAGCUUCCCAAGCAAAAAAACUCACCCUUGUAGGAACAUACGGACUCCAAAUAAUAUUGGACGGAAACGAGACUGCACAGCUAUGAACAAGAGACUUAUAAAGAGAUUUUACAAUGAAAAUCUCAUUUUUCGUCUCUUUCCACAGCAUCCUAUCCUCCACAUCAGCAUCCAGCCUCUUUCCUUGAAUGGAUGAAAGGAAUCUCUCCAGCUCCUCCACCUCCCAAUCAUUGAAAGGUCUAAGGAAGUGGGGAGUCCAACCUCCCUCUUCCCCCAUUGGGUCCCAAUAGUCCGCUACCCACGCAUCUUUAGAACCCGCUAAAUCAAACAAGGAGGGAAAGGCCUCACAAAGGGGCGUGUUCCCGCACCAAAUGUCUUUUCAAAACCUCAUCCUUUUACCAUCCCCCAUCGAGAAUGAUACAUUAUUGAGCAAUAACAAACCUUCCUUGCUGAUUUCCUUCCAAAGCCCUACCCCAUGGCCCUCCCUAGCCCCACGAGUGCUCCACCCUCCUCUUUCAACCCCAUACUUCGUACUAAUAAUAAGCUUCCAAUAUGAGUCUCUUUCAACCGCAAAACGCCAACUCCAUUUGCACAAGAGGGCUCUAUUGAGAAUGGAAAGAUUUCUAAUCCCCAAUCCACCCAUCUUUUUGUGAGUACAGACAAUAGCCCACUUUACAAGAUGGGGCCUCUUCUCCAACGCUCCCCCUCCCCAAAGAAAAUCCCUUUGAAUUUUCUCAAGUCUUAAUUUAACCACUCUUGGCAUGCGCAAUAAUGACAUAAGAUAGGUUGGCAUGCUCGCCAAAGUGCUCCGGAUGAGAGUGAUUUAAAUAUUAAUCAUUCAAACUUAAAAUCAAACUAAUAAAUAAAUUUAGUUAUAAAAAUAAAUUAAUUCAUUAUGAAAAAACUAAUUAAGAAUACCAUCUACUUCAAAAAAUUGAAUGAACAACCAUUAUUAAUUAUUUGAAGUCUCCACAUAAAACAAAAAUAAUAAAUCACUCCUAGAAUGACCUAAAUUAUUUUAAAUUCAACAUUUUAAUUCAAUCAAAACAGAAAAUUGCUUAUACCAUUUAAAAAAUAAAAAAUUACUAAUUAUUACAAUAAAAUAUUUUUUUAUUUCAAUUCCUAUAUGACUGCAUCAAUAAUCAUAAAAAUAGAAAUCUAUGAGAAGAUUCUACUAUGAAAAAACUAUUAAAGUAUAAAAAGAAAAAGAAAAUUAAAUGAUACUGAUGGAAGAAAAAGAUGAAGAAAGUGAAAGAGAGAACAUACUAAGUUACAGAGAAAAAGAUAGAGAAAAAAGGGCAUCGUUGGAAAAGUAGAAACUAUAACUUAGCAUUUACUUCAAUAAAAUCCAAAUCAUGUGAAAUCCCACCCUUUUUAAAAGAAAUUGAAAACUUAAAACUUCUUCCACCAAAUCCUUUGAAAAUAUUUCUUUCCAUGAAUUCCUUCAUUUCAAAUCAAUUGUUUUCUUUUCUAUCAAAUUCCUUUCAUUCCAAAUGCACUCUAAGAAAUUAAAUUUCAACUAAUAGUUAGAAAUGAAUUAAAAGAAUCUUCUAGGAGAGCAUCAUGUUUAUCUGCUAUUAAGACUCAUUACUUUUCAUAUCAUCCCAUCAAUUUUCCUUUCUUAUCACUUUAAAUAAUUGACAUACUGUGAAUGAUUUAGCUACUGACUUAAUGCUCACAUUUUGGUGGGGAGAGCUUUUCAAACACUUGGACCAUUUUUAAUUGGAAUUUUAAACAGCUAGAAAAAGCAUAUUCAUGUCUCGCACAACACAAAUGGCAUCCUUGUUUAUAUAGUAGGACAGAAAGGUUCUAGAAGACAAUUAUAUGAAGCUUGCUAGAGAAUGUGGAAUAUCCUAGAAGUUUUUGGAAGCCUUGGAAUUUUCUAGAAUUCUAUGGGUAGCCUUAGGUUAGCUAGAUCUACAUUAGAAUUUAAGUGUAUUGCACUUAUGAGUUUACUUAAUGGUUAUGUCUCCCUUAUUUAUAAAUAGGCACCUAGAGUACUCUAGAAUUGUGUGAAACCCCGUGUAGGAACAAGGAAUUUCUAGAAUAUUUCAAAACAUCAUAAACCAUGUUAUAUGUUUCAUAGUGUAGAGAUUGGGGGAAGGUUCAAGAGAAUUCUACAUCCCAAUAAAGAGAGAACUUUCAUUUGAUCAAGGCACUAAGGCUUGUACCCAUUUAAGUCUUGCACAGUUCAUUAGUACAACACACUUGUAUUCUUUCAAAGCUCACUUUAUUAAAGUGUUUAGCUACCUUGGUAACAUUAAGCAGGCUUAAGUUGUUAAAAGGCAAAAGAAUGGCUAGGAUUAGUUCUCACAUAUGGGUAUGGAAAGUUAGGCAUAAGUUGGGCCAAAAUUAAAAUGGAAUGAGCCCAAAUAAACACAAUCAAAAUAAGCCCUGUAAAUAAAUAAUAGUAAAUAAAAAUAAAAUAAAAUAAGUGAGAAUGGGUAUGAGACAAAUUUUGGGGUUUACAAAUAUGCCCCUCUUCAGUAGAGUCCACGAGUAAAGUAAGUGUAAAGUUCUACACAGAUGCUUGGGAGAGGCCUACAUCCAUGCCAUUCAUGUCCGAUACCAAUAUCAUUGAUUUGUUGGAGAAUCUAUGUAAUGAAUGUAGUUUAAAAUGCAUUUGAUUCAAUCACAAAACUCAAAGAUGAAGUUUACAAGUCCAGCCCAAGU